UAAACUAAUGAAUUGCAAAAGGUGCUUGCGAUUACAUGUUUUCAAAUUGUCGUCCGAGAGGCAAUCUAAUUGGUUUGAUCUUCUCAUACACAUACACUCCAACUUGUUAUAUGCUAAUCGGCGCAAGGAGUUAAUUAUCAGCUUCAAGGGUUUUGUGGAAAAACUUCAGUCACAGCAGAAGCACGCUUCAAAUCCAUGAUGAUAACAGUGUUUUGCAGAAUUGGAAGAUUGCAUUCUCACCGUUUUGGAAAAUUAUUUAACAUCAACUCAUUGACAAGAUUUUUCAAGUUUGCAUUCUUUUCUCACUUUGUUUAACUAUGCCAGUCUUCCCUUGCUUGGAGGAGUUUGAAUUCAUUAUGCUGCAUUUUUAUCAUCAGACUAGUGACAGAUCUUACAAUGAGUUUGAAGCAAAUUGUUUGCUUGUAAAUUUACCAUAGCAUUUUGUAAUAUUGAUAUUCGUCAUAAAAUAGUUUGGGGUCUUGUGAACCGCUUGAUGAAAACACUGAUUACAUCAUUGGACCUAUUGCUUCUACUGCAAGAUGGUUAAUUACCUGCUAUGAUAUUUUCAUCCCAUUUCUGAAGUAAAUGCUUUUAUCUUAGCCCCCAGAGUUUUGUACAGAACUUGAGCCCAACUUCACAGGCACAAAAUCGUGCGGCAUAAUUUGGGCAUCUAAAAUAUGUACGUGCAAUGUGGUUUAGUUUUUGAUAAAUAUUUUCAUCUUGACAAUACUGGCAUAUUGCUUCUUCCUUCAACCUUUUCCACCCGAGUAAAGCUCUUGUUUAUAGUUCUUCAAAUCUGAAUGAUGGCAAAUAACACUUUUCUAGGAAUGCGAGUGAUACAUGCAUCAGUAAGCAACCUGGGGAUGUUUCAAAUUCACCUAGUUCUAAAAUCUAGAUACACUCACGACUUUUUGUAACUACAUCGAAAAAUUGGAUUGAGCGUGAUUCAAUUGCAUUUUUUCUCUGUUUUUCUGGUAAGUGUUUUCUCCUAAUAGCCUUUAUGCUUUUCCCUGGUUAAAAAUUGGUCUCCUCUGAUAAGCUUAAUGAAGCAACAGUAAAUAUAGAAACCAGUAAACAAAAGAAAAACUAGCGUGACAUAACAUGUUGGUGAGAAAUUAUAUUAGAGCCGUACUUUCAUUUGUCAGGUAGUAGAUAUGAAGCUUAUUUCCUCCUUUGACAGAAAAUAGGCUGGUCGUGUUAAUAACAACAAAGGAACUUCUACGAGGUUGAGGCCUCUCAACAGGGGGCUCUUUGAUUUCUUGGGUGCCAAGGUUGCAGCACCAGCAUAGCAUUCCAUCCCGACCUUCCAAGAAAUGCUCAUCACUUUUCCAAAAAGCUAAUGGCGUUCCAAGGCUUUUUUGGGUCCACUGGUGAAUAAUUUUUUCCCAAGUUUCAUUGGCACCAAAUUCAUCCAUAACCCAAAUUGUCACCAAGAGAGGGAGGAGACAUUUUCUACAGCAUCGGCGAUGAGCUUGCACAUAAGAAUGCCACAACUGUUCCUGUGUCUGGUUCCGUAGUUAAGCAACUACGAAUUUGGGGUUUGCAAUUAGAGAAUGCCAUGACUUUUUUUUCAGGCUUGCAUUGCAGCGGUGAGUCUGCAGGCAGCCGAGCAAGUAUCUCGGCCAUCAAUUCUUCAGGAAGAUCGUUAAUCCUUGCUGUUAAUUUCUUCACUAUCCAGCAUUUGCAAGAUUACACAAGUGAAUGUUGUAUUGAAUCAUAAAAUUUGGAAGGGAAAACCUGUAAAUUCUUCUAAAUUCAGAACAGAGAAAACAGAGGAACAAAAAAAUAGAGAUACCCGAAAUAUCAAAACCAAAAGCUAAAAUGAGGAUUGAAACGGAGAGAGCAAAAAACUUGAUGUGUCUGCUGAUGGACCCAGAAGGGAGUUCUUUAGAAGCUGCCAUGUAUUUCCCUCUACACGCCCGCCCUCAACAGCUUUCACAAACAGUGAACGAGCUUCUCAAUAAUGUAAACGAAGUUCUUCACUUUGCAAUUUAAAAAAAAAAAAAUAGCAUUGCAAAGUAAUGGGUGUGUGAAUACCCGCUAAAAAAGUUCAAAUUUUGAUUGCAUAAUUUGAUCAAUUUUAUAGUAAGUGUUUAAAGGGUACAUUUUGAAUUAGCUAAAAAGUGAUUUCAAUCAAGUUUCUUUUUGUGGGUUCCGUUGAGGAGGAGAAGCUACAGUAUCUUUUUAUAUAUCAGACCAUGAGCUUGUGGUGCCACUUGGAAGUUAUUUAGAGAAAUAUAAAGGUUUGUGUUUUAGAAAAUUGUUUUAUUUUGGCUUCAAUAUCCGAACAUGGAUUUUUUUUUUUUUAAUAAUGUUGUAUCAAAAAAAAUUUCAGUUUCAGUGGAGAAUGGAGUUGUCGAGAGCUUAUCAACCACAAGCUGCUUUCAGAAUUCGUCCACCUAAUCGUUGCUCAGCUACCAUUGCUGGUGAGUGAGUGAUUUAAUAAAUUUAAUUCGUGAGUAAGAUCUCAUUGGAUAGAAGUAUCAUGACCAGUUCAUGUUUUGAAAGUGUAGUUCAUACAGGAAGGGUACUUUCAGAAGCCUUUAGUCCUGAUGAUUCCUGUUGGGCGACAGUUGGCCAAGAGGUUCUGGUGACACCACCGUCCGACUAUGGGACCUUAAUACCCAGACACCAAUGUUCCCUGUCCUCCGGGGGACUCCACCAAGAGGUUCUUGUAGUUCAUACAAGAGCUGGGCUCUACGUGCAGCAUGGUCUCCUGGAGGUAACCUUCUAGUUAGUGGGAGCAAAGCCUGAGAACUUCAAUUUUGGAAUCCCCAGACAGGAAAGCCAUCACGCAAUUCAUUGUACAGCCUUUUACUUGAAAAUCUCGUUUCUGUUUUGGCUUUGACAAAAUCAAUUAGUCUUAUAUCAGUAUAUUAUUGCUAGACUUUCUUUGCCGGGGGGGCCUCUAGAAUGUCUUCCCUCUGUAUUCGAUUUUGUUGAUUGACAACGUAGCUACGUAUGCUAACAACAUUCCAACUUUUCUUCACCUCUUAAUAUUUCUCUUUUUUCUCUCGAUCAAUACCCUUGCUUCUGCCAUUGUUGUUCCAUUUUAUAAAACUAUAAUACAUUUCAUUGCAUCUAUAAGUAGGCCGCUUAGGAGAGGUACAUCAAAAUGAAGACAACGCUCCUAAAAAGUUGGUGUCAAGAUCUGAGGAUUUUGCAAUGUUCCUCUGGAACUUGCUGUUAGCAAACAACCUAAGACUCCCAUAAUAGGUCAUCAAAGGGUACUAAUUGUAUAUGUUUUUAGUCGCAAUAUAAUUUUACAAUUACCAUUCUGUGGGAGUGCAAUGUUACCCAAUUUUUCUUUUCCUUUCUUUGUUAAUUUUCCUAUGAAAGAUCACAUAUCAACGAUGAAAUUAAAUUGCCCAUUUCUUAAAGGUUUGGGACAUACGGACACAGAGGCUGAAACAAAUUAAUAUAUUUAUUUAAAAAUAAUAAUUUACAUAGUAUAAUUUAUUUUUAAAAAAUGACUAUGGUCUGUUGGGUAAAUUAUUACAAACUAUAAUUUUAUUCAAUAAAAAGUAAAACAUCAGGGACCUUUAUGAAAAAGGCCCCAAAUUUCAUUCCUUUUAUUAUUCUCGAUUACCAAGCUACAGCCACAGUGCCAUCAUACUCGUUAAAUGCAAUCAAUCGAGAAACAAAAGAAAAUUCUCAGAAACGCAGUCGAUUACAAUGAAAGCUACAGAGGUACCCAUAAGAUCAAACAACAAUAGCAACCCAAUUAAAAAUCAAGGUCAAAUGAAGAUUGAAAAUACCCAGAACCGGAAGCCUCCGUUUAGGCCAGCUCGAGAUGACACCAAACCUCCACUUCACGACCCUGUAACUGUCUUCUUUUUUUCUCUCACUUCCAUUUGGUUUAAAUUUUGCUUUUCGGGUCUUUCUGAUUUUUUGUUUCUUUUCUGAAAGUGAUUUCGUUGUUUUGGUUUUGGUUUUGUUUUUGUGGCAGAUACUGAGAUCAGAUCCCAUCGAAACAGAGGAAGCAGUGCUGCGGUUGCCUCCUUUUUCUAUUAACAGAGAUCAUAAAAUUUAAGCUACCGGGUUUCCUUUAUUUGUAACCUUUUGUUUGCUUUUUAAAUUCUUCAUGAAUUUUAGCUUCAUUUUGAAGCUAAGAAUUUCAUGUACUAUUUGGAAUCAUGCACUAAUUUUCAUUUAUGGUAUGUCAAAAUUGAAUAAAAUUACUAAAGCCCGCUGAACAUAGCUGUUGGAGUAACAACUUAAACAGCGGCCUUGAACUUGUAAGUGAUUCCAAUUUGAAAUUGAUCAUUUGAUCUCAUUAACUUCAAGCAAAAGAAGUUAAAUCAAAUCACAUGAUACCGUUUCCACAAAGACGGCAAAUUGAAUAUGUUUGAGAGCCCUUUGAUUGCAGAAAAGUCUUGACUUUCCACGUUUAAGUUUGUGAAAGACUUCAAAGCGUUUCUUGUUCUUGAAGAAGCACGUUGCUGAGUGCUUUUCACAUCAAUGUAAUCCAGAAGGUGCCAAUUGCCAAAGCAAUUAGCAGAUUAAAAAGAUAUAUUGACAACAUGAGAGUUACGGACAACAAUCCUGAAUUUGGUAAUUUGGUUUAACCCAACAGAGAAUGAAAUGAAUCGACUAGCAUACUGAACAGUAUAAUUACGAUUUAACUAAUCCUCAGUCUCCACCCAAACAUCUAAGGUCUAACGACUAACUAAAAUCAUCGAAAUACUAUUGUUUCUCGAAAAAAAAAUAGAAGAAUGUGGUCAUAUGAACAGUUAUUGAGGUAAAAUUAAUGAGCUUAAUAAAUAAUCAAGAUGAUUAAAAGGUAUCCAUCAAUCACGCAUCCUCAGAAGAAACGGGGGCAACUUGAUCUAGGAUAUUUGGAAACCCUCUAGGCAAAUUAAACAGCGGCUCAUUAGUUGUAGAUCCUUGCAUGGUUAGGCCUAAUGCGUAUCCCAGUGCUCGAGAAACUGGCACUGCCACUGCAUUUCCAACUUGAAUGUACCUAAAAGAAGUCAGAUAAAACUACUAAGAAACAACACCAUAUGCAAGUGAUUGAUCAAUCGUAACUGACUAACUGUAAAAUCACACAACUUAACAAAACCCUAAUGUUUUCAGAGGGCCACUUGCAUUCAUUUGUGAAAAAAGUGAUGCAAUACUGUUCUGAAUCAAUAAUAACAAACAUCAACAAUUCAAGCAUUUACCUUUCUUUGAUAGGACCACAGAGCUUGUAAUAAUCUGGAAAACCUUGAAGCCUUGCGUUUUCACGAACUGUCAAAACACGAUCUUGUACUGGAUGCAAAAUAGCCUGUAUACAUAAAAUCAAUUUAAUGAUAAUUGCACAUGAUUAUUUUAGUACAUGAACAUAUAAAUAUGCUUCUGCUACACAGAUUCAUAGAAAGAGAGAAAUGUCACCUGGUUAUGAGGCUCUGCUCUAGUAACCACUGUUGGUACAGUUUCAUCCCACCAAAGACGUGCAAACGGUCUGUAUAACAAAGUAAAGAUGUUAAAUUAUGUCAAUAUUCAACAAAAAGAUUUUGCUAUUACAGUUUAUAGAGCUGUCAUUUUCUAACAUAGAGAACAUUUUGAUGAGAAAAUUAAAUCCAAGUGCCAAAAUCUUGAAAUGCUAAGCCAAAGCAUCAAGAAAAAUACAGAACACAUACUUCGAUGAUGUACCAUCAAUAAAAGACAUGGCAUAAUUUGGCACCUGUCAUCAAAUGCAAAAAAAUGAGAUGUAAUAAGCAAAACUCCGAAGAUUGUGAAAAGAAUAGCAAGAAAAUAUAAAUAGACCUAUUGAUCAAAAUAUUACCAAAGGCUUUCCAGACUCCAAAUAAAUCCUCUCUACAUUUGGAUCCCACUCAACUUUGUUAUCGGGUCGAACUCGAACCCCAGGAAAAUCUCGAAAAUUUGCUCCCUAUUUAUUUAUUUAAAAAAAAAGAAAAGCAAAUUAACCGACACAAAAUCACAUGACUUCAAUGAGUUUGCUUCAAUUAUGUUCUAUGACACACAUACAAUACCUUUUUUUUAGGGACCCGGCAAACACGCUGGUAAUCAUCCUUGUUCAACUCAAGUGGGCGAUGAUCAUAAAGCAUUUGCUCUCUUGGUUUUGACUCUGAUGAAGAACCCAUCAUUUCUGCAAAAAUAAACAAAUCAUUUCGACUCAUUUUCUUGUCUUGCAGAUUUAAGACACAAAAGCAUAUUGAAUUGAAAUACAGCUUAUGGAAUACAACAGAACAACCAUAUGCUUUUUAUUUGUAAAAGAAACCAAAUGAGAUGAAAACAAUACAGUUAUUGCAAGCAUUUGAAGUUUUCUUAAGAAAAUAUGCAAACAAAAUAUCAUAGUUUUACAAAUUUUGAGGUAAAUACAAAUGUAUGCUUCCAUGAUUAUCUCUAUGAUAUCCAACAAGAAUUAAACACAGUGCACUGUUUGACAUAUGAAAUUUCAAAUUUUCUAUAAAAGAGAACUACGAAUAGUAUAUUAAAAUCAAGAUUAGUUCCAUCGUCAACACAAACUGGAAUAAUAAACAAAAAGAGACUAGAAUUGCAACCUGAUUCUACAUCAGCAAUGCUUCAUAACAGUAUAAAUUUCAAAAUAAUGGCUGCUUAAGCUGAGAAAAGAGUGGCAACAAGCUGAAAUCAAAUCAUGUAUAGAAAUAUAGUCAAUUGUUUUCUAUGUGCAGCUGACAUAAAAACAUAAUCUCAAAACGCACACAUAAAUGCCAAUGCAAGUCCAAUUAUUUUUGUAUUAUAAUUGAUUAUCAAGAAAAGAUAUAAGCAUAAACCAUUUCACCAAUUUGACUAGACAUGACAAACUAAAUGGGAAAAAAUGAGAAUAAGCAUUAUUAUGAUAUUUACAACACAACCAAAAACAUCAAAGGGGUCACUCAAACAAUUCAACUCUAGAAUAAGCAACAAUAGGAUAUCUGCCAAAUAAUGACUCAAUUUCUAGAAGCAGAAGUAACAAAGCAAUUGCAAUUCCAUGCAUAAUAAAAUUAAUUAAACCACAGCUUCUUACCAUCUUUUCUCAAUCUGAUAAAACAUUGAAACUCUGUCUCAGGCUCCCUAUCAUAUGGGAUCUCAUCUCGGGACUCAUAGUUAUCAACCUAAUUUUAACAAAGAAAAUUUAGAUAUAUACAAAAGAAAAUUAAAUAAAUUGACAAAACAGUAAAAAAUAAUAAUAAAGAUGAAACAUACACUAGGAAGGUCAGAAAUUGCAUCCUGUAACAGAAGCUUUCUUGCUAACUCUACUUGUUGACCUUCAUCAUAUGCAACGGUGUUUCUCUGCAUCCACCAUAAAUGAAUUAAAAUACAAUAACCUUAGUAGCUAAUAACAAAAUUGAAACUGUAAGCAGUUAUACUUCAAACUCAGUUGGGAUAACCCCUCUCAAAACAACAUCAUGUGUUGGAAGUGCAUAAGGAGGCAAUUUCUGCAAAGUCAUAAAACACUCAAUUAGAAAAUCAGCUAUAACUUAACAAAUCUACCAUGCAAAAGAUCUACAAAAUGACCUCAGUAGGUUGGGCUCCCCACAAGAAGACCCGCAUACGAAAUUGGGGAAGUCCAUAUGCCCCUGCUGCCAUCAUUCCCAUCCGAACUUGGUAAUUCAUUUGAAUAAGUCGAGCCAAGGCAUAUCGACCAAGUAAUCCUUUGGCAAACUUGACAAUGUCAACAACAUUUUCCAUCAAUACAAACUUAGGCUUCAAAAAGUCAACUAUAUCCAUGAAAACAAUUAGCUGUUUAUUUUUUUCAUCAGCCAGUGGAUUAUCUUUGUUCCUAAAACGAUUGAAUCCACUAACUCCUUGGCAUGGAGGUCCCCCACAAAUCACAUCAACAUCUCCCUAACAAUCAAGAAUCAAAACAAGAUAAGAAUCUUUGGUAAACAAGCUUCUGGUUAAAGCAAAGAGAAUUAUCUAGAAGAGAAUAACAUAAAAGCUUACAGGCAGUGGCAAAAUCUUUGAUUUGAAUCCGCGUGUGACAAAUUCUUUUAUCUUCUCCCCACAAUUGCUAUUACAAAAAUAUAGAUAUACUUAUAAUCAUAAUAAUGGAGCUACACAUUGUCUAACAUAGCCAAAAUUGCUAAAGAGGGAAAUACAAUUUUAACAGCAUACCUCAACCCUUCAAUUGGCUCCCAAGUGUCUUCACUAGGCCCAUAAUUUUUCCAACGAACCUAAAAGCAAAAGGUUGGAAGAGGUACAAUAUAUUAAAAACUGCAUUGGAUAAUAAGAAUAUAGCUUGAUCCUAGAUGCUGGUGAUGACAUAAACUUUUAAAUGUCAUUUUAGGAAAAUAGGAAUCAUGUUAAAAUUGCUUAAGGGGAAGGGGGGGUGUCAAGAAAGCAUUUUCAAGAUCUAAUCUGUCCAUCAAAUAGCAAUAAUUCACAAGAUUUUUUACUAAAUUAAAUGUUCUACAUGUUUAAGCAAAUAACAUAUUACUUGAUCCAUUCUUCAUUCUUCAAUAUGCUUUGUUGAUGUAGGACAAAUAGAGUCAUGGUAAGAGCCUUAGCAUAAUUGUCUUUUUUCAAAUUUAGUUAGGAUUUUCUUUUUAUUUUCUUAUUUAAGUCGUAUUCCAUCAUAAGUUUAUUAGGAUUAGGAACAAUUACAACUAGUAUAAAUAAGCUUGUUAUGCAGUUUCUUUAUAACAGCUUUCAUCAAUGAUAUUUUCUCAAUUGAGAACUUUUCCUCUCUAGUGCAAGCCUUUUUCUUGUUAUUAAAAAACAUGCACUGGAACAAUAUCUAAUACCACUUCCGCACUACAUUAUUUAUGAUUGAUACUAGCAAUGCACCGUUUUUGUUUAUUUGUGACAUAACUACGGCAUGGAUAAAGCAAAUUGUAGUUCCCACAAGUACUUCAAGUAAUGAUAAGUUGUCAGAGAACAAGAAGCUUUACCAUGUAUAAAAUGAAUUAAUAGAGCAAAGCAAGUUUUAGCAUAUUCUAAGUGAACAGAACCUACGAAUCCAUGUGACGAGCAUUUAGAUAUUUCUCAUACAAAAUUUCCAUAUUUUCCCCAAUCCUUGAAAGUAUCCUUUUAACCUUCAAUCCCCCUUUUCCUUUGCCAGGAAAUGAAAAUGAAUUAUGCUAUCACAUGCCAAGCAAAAAUUUCCUUUUCCUAACUUUAUAAAAUAUAAAGAUCAAAACGCUAAACUUUUAUCAACUUUUCUUGAAUAUAUAAUGUUUGCUGUUAGCUUUCUUUGUAUGAGAAGCAAAAAGAAAUCAACUGUCAUGCCUACGUAGCAUCCUAAACACAAACUGGAAACAUCAAUCCCCACUAUUCUUGAAAACAAAUCAAUAGAUCCAUGCACAAUAAAUCAAGAACACACAUACACCCUAAAAUCAAAAAAUUCAAAUCAAAUUAAUUUUGUUUUGUUUUUAUAAUUUGUAUACCUUCAGAUACAACCCACGUUUCUUUAUCUCCUUUGGAUCACCAUAGCAUAUUUUGAGAAUUUUCUCUACCUCAAAAAUCUCAGAAUCAUCUUCACUCUCAUCUUCUACGUUACCAUUAUCAUCAUCUUCUUCAGAUUCGCCAUCAUCGUUAAAAGAGUACAACUGUUGCUGGGGAUCUUUCCUUGCAAUCAAAGAGAAACUAAUGCAAAGUUUUUCCCAUUCUCUUAACAAGGUGAGAAAAUCUUCAGCUGAUUCAUUUCUUACCUAAUUCAUAGAGUUCGUUAAUUUUUUUCAAAUGCAUGCAAUGCCGAGACUAAAUAAAACCAAAAUUUAUUGCUAUUUCUACCUCUGUCUCGGGAUGGUUCAACUUUAGACUUUGACAAGCAUACUCAUUAAUGUCAACAGCCCAUCUCUGGAAAAGAAAAAAGUAAAGGAUCAAACAUUCAAAUCUACCUCUUAUCAUAUCUAAAUUACUUGAAGGAAAAGACAAGCUUACCGUAACAAGAUUCAAACCAGCCAAAUUUGCACCAAGGCAAAGUCCUGUUGACAUUGCACCACAACCAGAGUACAAAUCUAACAAUUUCACAUCCAUCUUCUGAGGCUCUCCAACUUCACAUUCAUUUGCAUCAACGUCACUGGAAAUAGUGGAUGAAGUCUCACUGCUAACUCUCUUAUUUUCUAUAGGAUGACAAGAGGCAUAAGAUUAAACGUAGAAAUAACAUUCAUCAACCCAACCUCUACAUAUGAAAGGGAAAAAAAUAAAAAUAAAAAGUAACACAAUGGUUUGUUAACAAACAUAAAACAAGUGCAUUUCAGCUCAAAUAUUACAAUCUAUUAACUCAUGCUCAAUGUAUAUAAAAUAAUAAAAAGAAUAAUUACCAGGGGGCAAGCUGAAAAACGUGGAGUAUGGCAGUAAAUACAUCAUAUCGCAGUAAUAAUCACAAUGGGGGAUUGCCAACUUUUUGGCUUCUAAGUCAAUCUGACAAGCAAAUUGUAAUUAUUAACAAAUGAUUCAAACAAAUAAUCACCAUUAAACCCAAACAACUUGUAAACUGCAAACAUACAUUUAAUGGAACCCUAGCAAUGUUUAGCUUCUUAACCAAACAUUCCAAUGGAUUAUCAUUUUGGAUUUCAGAAAAGAAUACUCUUCUUUGGUCAAUAAGAUGAGCAUUACUUUCUAUGACCUGAAAAAAGAUGGAAAAAAUGAGAGAUCAUAGCAAAUUUACAAUGAAACAAAAUUAAAUUAAAACUUAAAACAAUCAAAAUUUAUCUUACAGUAUCACGGGCUCUGUAGUACCAUUGGGCGGUAAAAUAUGGUGUCCCAUCAACUGCCUCAAACAUUUCGACAAUCUUACAAAUAUAGUCCUCCUCCCCACUUUCAGCCUACCCAUGAGGAAAAUAAUAUAACCAAAAUGACAUCUAUGAUCUCAUGUACAAUAACACUAAACUAGGAUAUAAUAAAUCACUACACUUACAAAAGGAAACAACAGAUUAAACUAUAGAAAUCAAAAGCAUGCAUCUCUUCUAUUAGAUUUCUAAUUCAAGCAUCAAUAGUGAAUCAUAUAAUUCUAUUUUUUGUAAAACAUGUUCAAUAAAAAGAAAAAAAUUAAAAGAAAAAACUCACUUUUACAUGUGCAUCAUCGAAAAGAUCAUAUGUGAUAUGUCCAUCAACCUCAGCCCACAUAUAAUGACACUUUGCCUGUAUGAUCUCUUCUUCAUCAUCACUGAAAAAAAAAAAGAAAGGAAAAAAAAAAAUUGGUAAGUAUUUUUUGUUGUGUGAGAAAUUCCCGCUUGGACAAGUUAUGCCUAAUAUCUCAAUUUUUUCUACCAUAGCUUUCUCUUCACUCUAUGAAUUGCAAUCAGAAGUUCAAUUUUAAAAGAAAUUUGAAUGAUAGCGAGGUUGAAGAACUAGCAAUGGUUAUGUUGAGUAUCUAAAAUAUCAGAAUUGGUGAACUGGAGGAAGACAAAAUGAUAUGGAAGCUGGAAGCCUCAGGACAGUAUACUUGCGAGUCAUAUUUUGAGUAGUUGUGCAAUGAGGUUUUUGCCGGAGAGUUUUUAACCUUCAAAAUGAUUUGGAAGGCUAGUCCCCUAAAAUUGAAUUCUUCUUGUGGGUUUUGGCACAAGGAAAAUUAAAUACUGCAGGAGUAAUUGAAAGAAAGUUUCUUAAUUUCUAUCUCUAUCCUUUUAAUAUGCCAUAUGUGAAAAAGUGCUGAAACUUCAAAUCAUCUGUUUUUAAUUGUUUUGUGGCUUCAAAUUGUGAUAUAAUUCAUGCAAAGAAGCUAAUAUUUUGUGGGUCAUUCAGGGUGACUGCGAUUCUCAUCCUAUAGAGUAUUUCUUUGCUUAUGGUAGAAGAGUAAAGGCUAAACUCUUUAGAAAGGUAUAGUAACAGCCCUGUUUUGGAUAAUAUGGAAGGAAAGAAACAUUAGUAUUUUUUUAUGGGAAAAGUAUAGAUUACAUUGAUGAUAUGUGGGAUAAAGUUCAUCUUCUUGUUUCACUUUAGGCGUCAAUUUUUUAGGAGUUUCAAGAUUCAUCUUUUUUCUUCAUUCAUCUAAACUAUAUGGGGUUUUGAGAAGGGGAGUUUUUAACUCAUUCUAACCUUGUAUAGAGGUGAUUAGUGGCAUACUUUUAUAUAGCACAAAUAGUCUUAAUUUUUUGCCUUCUUAUUGGAUAGCUGGUCCACUGUCUGUUUUAUCAUUGUCAUUGAUAUAUUUUUUAGCUUACUAUCAAAAAAUAUAAAUAUAAAAAGAAGAAUUUGAAUAAAAAUGUGGUAAUUAUAAACUUACUCUUUUUGAUUUCUUCGCUUCUGCUUCUGCAAAAUUAUAAACAAGAAUAAAAUUGACAGAAGAAGGAAAAAUUAAGAUUCUCAGCAAAUUAUAUCCCAAAACCCCAAAAUUAUAGCAAAUUCUUAAAAAAAAAAAAAAAAAUUCGGUGUGAAUAUCAAAACACCUAAUUUAACAACCUUCAUAUGAAAACAAAAUUUAAUCAAAGACACUAAAACAAAUAAAUAAUCACAAUUAUUCAGUAGGAACUCAUCAUUAUAAUAGCAGCUAUUGAAUCCUAUAAACUUAAUUUACAAACGGCAGAAAUAACUAAAACAGUAAAAAAUAAAAUAAACUCAAUGUAGCAAAUGUAAACGUAUGAAAUACCUUUACUUCAUAGCGUUUGGGCCACCGUUGCCUGGCCUCUCCGUCCGGAACCGGAUCUCCGAGAAACCGAGCUUCUGGUUCAUCGCCGUCGUCAUGCUCGCCACGAACCGGUAACUUCUUAACAGAAUCAAUAGGUUUUUUGGAACUCGAUCGGUUCUUAUUCACUUUCACGCCGGAACCAGAACCAGAACCGGCCACAGAGUUUUCACAGAUCACUUCAGCUACCUCUCCCUCUUUUUCGACACAAGCUUCCGGUUCCGGCUCAACUUUUGACUUUUUAGACGACAACGACGUAUUGUCGUUUACUGAAGAGCGGGUCUUGCGCUUCGUAGGCAUGGUGGAGGUGGUGGCGGCGGCAGCGGCGGUGGGAGAUCUCGAAAAUGGUAGACCGCAACGGCAGCGUUUUGAGGAUAAACAAAGAGAGCAAAAGGCGUUUGUAUCUUCGUGUGGGCUUGCGCAUUAUAUGGUGAGUUUCGGUGAAAAGUGCAAAUUUUUAAGUGAAUUGGAGUGGGCGGGAAAGUGGAGACUUUUUGAAAUGGGGGGAAAGCGAAAAAAUUAUUUUAAUGAAAUUUUCAAAAUUUUGAAGUGCACCGUCACUCAUGUCUAACUUUUUUUUUUAAUAGUAAAAAUUAUGGUCUAUUUUUCAAUGGUUGUCAGUUGUCUUAUAAAAUUUGUCAUAUAAAUAAUGCAUAAUAAAAUUUGUUCAUGGUGUAUGCAAUAGAAUCUUGAUAAAUUGAUAACUUCGAUUAAAUAAUAGUAUUUUGUCACUUUUAACUUGGACCUUAUAUAAAUUAAUAAUUACUUACUUUAAAAUUAAAUCCACACGAUAUGUCAUCUACCUUUUUGUAAAAUAUGUUCACAGUAUUACUUGAAAAUAAUUCAGAAUUAAAUCUUAACUCAUUUGUAAUGCAUAAUUCCAGUUUGUAUUAUUCUUUUGCCCCCAAUAUGAAAUGGACUUUAUUAGGGUUGGCAAAACCCCGAGUUGGGUUCGGGUAUCGCAAUGCUUGGACCCGCCCUGGAUGUAAUUUUUAAAUGCUCAGGCCGGGUUUUAAUCCGGGUAUCCGGAUUUUAUAUUUUUUAAUAUUAUAUGUGUAUUUUUUUGGUAAUUUUAUAAGUUUUAAAUUUAUUUCAAAAAAAUUUGACAUGAAAAUAUAAACUUUAAGUGUUUAAAACUUUAUAUAUGUAUAAUAAAUUAGUCAAAUAAAUAUAAAAUAUUUAAAAUAAUAUAUAUUUUAUAUUUUUUUAAUAAAAUUCGAGUUCCGAACCGGGCUAUGGGUUUAUCAAGUGAUGUCCAAGACCGGUCCAACUUCAUAUCGAUUACCUAGCCCACAACACCUAGGUGUGGUCCGGGUCCGAAUCGGGCUGGUAUUUUUGCCACCCCUAGACUUUAUAUAUGAUAUUUCGUAUAGAAAAAUAAAAACUCUAUAUUUACUAUUAUGUACUGUAUUGAUGUGAGACAACUAAACACUAUUCAAAUAGAACAUAAUAAAUAUUAAAUUAAGGUAGAUAAAUUCUAUAAAUGUGAUAAUACUUUCCAAAAAUAAGGAUUUCUUCCAGAUCAAUAAUUUAUUAAUGAGAAAUUAUCCACCGACCACCUGUUUUUUCGAGUUUUUUCAAAAAAUACACAAUUUUUUUUUGUUGGAAUUCACCAGAAGUUACAUUUAUUUUCACUUUUCCACUUCUGUUUAGAGACCGUUAAGAAAACUAACGGAAUAUUGUAUAAAUAACUUUUUUACCCUCAAAUAUAAAAGAUAAAUUAUCCACCGACUACCUUUUUUCGUAUUUUUUCAAAAAAACAUAAUUCUUAAUUUAUUUUUUUUACUGAACUCCACUUUAAGUUAUAUUGUUUUGCACUUGCCCACCACUGUAUCGUUGUGAAAUGACAAUUUUACCCUCAUGAUGUCAGCAAAGUUCUAAUGGUGUUAUAACGAGAGUGGACCAAUAAAAAAAAUGUUAACUUCAGGUGGAGCGCUGUAAAAAAAAAAAAAAAAUUGUGUAUAUUUUGAAAAACGGUGAAAAAAAAAUAUGGUCGGUGGAUAAUUUCCCUUUAUUAGUUUGUCAAUAUAAUAAUCAUUAAAUUAAUAAUUUUUUAUAGUCCCAAAAUUAUUAAUUUAUGAAAAUUUUAUUUUAUAUAACAAUUUAGUGAUUGGUCACAUAGUAUUGCAAAUUAUAGUUUUGUCGUUUGUUAAGAUCUCCUGGUUAAUACAAAGAAAUUUGAAAUUGUAGCUCAGUUCACAUGGGAGAUGUCGAGAUGAGUUAGUUACUAGUUAUGCUAUGCUUAAAAAAGUUAUAUAAAUAUGAUUCUUUUUUUUAUUGUUUCAGUUUCUAGUCAACAUUUCUAGUCUGCCCGCAAUUGGAAAGCUACUUUCUUUGAAUUUUUUUUAAUUCGGCAUGAACCUGACGUUGUGCACCGACUCAUCACGCACCAUUAUAAGCAAAAGUUUUAAUUUUCGAUGUAAAAUGUCUCGUGUUAAAAAUAAUAGAUUUGAGGUUCAAAUCGCACUCGUGUAGAUUGGAAAAUGAUUGAGUUUUCAUAAGACUAAAUAAUAAAAUAAAUAAAUACUCGCUUGAUGGACGGUGAAAAUUAGUAGGGGUGGACAAAUAAGAUUUCAGUUCGCGUUGUUCGAUUUUCGAUUUAGGUUAUAAUCUGUUAAGUUUAGAAAAUUCAAUUCAAUCGACUUCGAACGAUAAACCCAAACUGAACAGAAUUUAAUUUAAUUUGGUUCGAUUUGGUUCGGGUUAUAAAUUCAGAUUUAUUGAUUAGAAACCUUAAUUUUACCCCAUUCAAAAAAUGAAGUAAUUAACUAAAUAUCAAACAAAUUUCUCAUAAUCUCGUUCACAAAUUUAAACCAGUAAAGAAUUCUAUGUUUAACAAUUAGAAAAAUUAACUAAUAAUUCACAAAAGAAAAAUAAAAAAUUAACUAACAAUUAAAAAAUAAAUUUCUAACAAUCAACUAAUGGAUGAUAAAAAAAGAAGAAGAAAUAUUUAGCAGUAGAGGUUGAAAAGAAGAAGAUUUUGGUAGCAGUGGAAGGAAAGAAAAAGAAGAAAAAGAGAAGAACUGAAGAAGAAGAAGAAGAAGAUGAGAUUCAGCAGUGGCGAAAGAAAAGGAAUAGAAGAAGGGGAAAAAAAGGAAAAGAAGCAAAAGAAUGGAGAAGAAGUUAGGAGCAGCAGAGACGUGCGUGUUUGGGAGUUGUCAACUUGUCAUGCGUUAGAGUUAGAAAAUGAGUUUUUAAAUUAGUUUUUUUUUUUUAAUUUCUUAGUAAUCCAAUCAGGCUGAAUUUUCGGUUCGAGCUCAAAAUAUGACUCGAUCGGUUUUAAAUAUCUUUAUCUAUCUAUAUAUCUAUAUAAAGUUGAGACCUGAAGAGGUGAUGUGGCAUCACAAUUUCUCAUCUUUGUAUAUUAUUUAUUAUAUAAUAAAUAGAGAAAUUUUCUUUUAGAUUUGGUUUUUCAUAUUCUCAUAAUUAAUUUGAUUGUUAUUAUAAAAUAACAAUUAUGUAAAGAUUUUAAUGAGGCAUAUUUUUUGUAAUGAACAUUCAAGGGGGAGUGUUAUGAAUUUAUUAAAAUAAAUGUGGAUGUUCAUAACAUAUAUCUCUUAGUCUCUUCACUAUCUCUCAUUAGCAACCUUUAAAUUCCAUAUAACUCCCACUAUUUCACAAGGAAUUAUGAUCCAUAAUUUUUCAUUAAUUUCAUGGAGUGAUUAUGUAACUAUAAAAGGAGAGUUCAUCUUUUUGUUUUGUACGCACACAAUUGGAAUGAAUAAAAUCAUUUUAUAAUAUAUUCUCUCAUUUUAUUAUUUAUCUUGCGUUGCUUCUUUAUUUGUAUUGCUAGCUAAUAGCUUUUUUUUUGUUUUUUAUAAGGCUGCAUCAUCUUAAAAAAAAAUCAAUUCAUAUUUUUUAUCAGUUUCAUCAAGUGUAAAGUAAGAAAAAGAAGGAUAAUAUUUUUUUUUUUUUUUAAAGCCGUAUGAAGAGCGGUUCUAUUUUAUAGUUAAACAUAAAUGAGGUUCUAAGCUUCAACCCAAAUCGAUCCGAACACCUGCCCCUUAAAAUAAAACCGUAAAUAUGAUUUUUAUAAAGCCUUUAGUUACAUUUCACAUUUGAAUAAUAAAACCAUGAGAAAGGCAUAACUUUCUCCCUUUUAUUUUUGUUAAUUACUUUAUUUACUUAUCCUUCAACACUUACAUUAUAAAUAUUAUUCAUUUAUAAGGAGGCCCUUAGCGUCUUGUUAAAAAUACAAAUGCCAUGCAAAUGAAACCCAUAAUUCGACCAAGCAAUUCAACAAUGAACAUGAUAGUCGAAAUUGCAUCUUGUUAACUCUAAUUCAUGGCCUUUACAACGUCAUCCAUGUACUUUUUUUUUUUUUUUUUUUUUUUUUUUGUGUUUGAUGACAUUUAGUUACAGAAUUGCAAUCAUUAUUUGGCCACAUCCUUUUGAUGAUUUUUUUUUUUUUCAAUGCGCCAAUCUCAACCAUUCUAUUAAUUUGAAUUGUGUCUUAAGUCAGUAAUGUUGUACCCUUUAAAAAUAAUUAAUUAUGAAUAAAAUUAAUUACAUUUUUAAUAAAUUUAUUUAAAUUGUGUCUAGUUAUACUGUAAUUAUAAAAGGCUUUUUAUUUCAUAAGUAUAUAAUUAAAUUAAAUGAGCUUCUAAGUUACAACAAUUAGUAUUUAUAAAAAAAAUUGCUAUAUCUUUUAAAAGAUACAACUAUUUAAUUUCAAUCCCAAAUAAGAUCAAUGUCUGGUAUAAAUCUUCAUGUCUUAACAAAUCAACAAUAAUCUGCUCAUUAGAAAUUUUUACCAACAUUAUCUGUCAAAAAUUUCAUUGUUUGUAUAUUUUUUUUCUAAAGGAUUGUUUGCAUGUUGAUAUUUCUAUAACAAGUGAUGAUAUAAUUAUAAACUCUUGUACAAAGUUAGUUUGUCUAAAUUAAUUUGACAUUAACUCAUUAGUUGAAUAAAAAAAUAAAAAAAUAAAAACAAAUCAUGUAAAUCAAGAGUUAUUUAAUCCAACCAAUUUAAUCAUACUAUAUUAAUUUAUAAAAAAAAUUAUAAUUAUAUUAACACUCUUCUAUAACAACCCCAUCUUAUAUAUAUUUACUUCACAUUUCAUUUUAUUUAUGUGCGCAAAUAUUGGGAAAUAAACAUUUUUCCUUUCAAGAAAGCUUAAACGGGCGGGAUAGUCCCACAAAAAUGCUGACGUGGCAGAGAGAACAGAAUGACCUUUGACCAUUCCUCAGCAAAUGGACCCCACCAAACUCCAGAACGCAAAAUAUAUCUAGCUCGCAUUCACAACCACCAAAACAACAAAACAAAAUCGAUAGCAAUUGUCGAUCUCUCUCACGAUCAAAAUCAACCGACCCCUAACCCUAAUUCCCAAAUUUGAAAUCUCUUCAAACUCCAUACGGAUUUAAAAAAAAAAAGAAAAGAUUUUUUAAGUCGAAAAGAGAAACUCGAUCUAAUAAUUGCAAGCUAUGAACGGGGUUUUGAUAGAGCUACUAUAAUGAUAAGACGGCGACUAGGGUUUUGUUCGAAUUGCAUGGGGAUUGACUUUGACCAAUGCCAGAGCUUCGAAAAGGCGUGCGCCGAGGCCGAGCCGCUACUACGUUAGCUGCAGCUGCCUCUCCAGGGGGUAAUUGCGUGAAGACACGCGCUGCGAUCGCGCGUGAGGCUGCGGCCGUUGCUGUUGCCGCUGAGUGGGAGAGGCCAAGGCCGAGGACGAGGUUGGCGACGAAGAAAUUGAAGGCAAAACAGGAAGAGAAUUUAGAAGUCAAAGAGAAUCGGAAAAAGUUGCAGGUGAUUGUGAUAUCGGAGAAAGAUACUGACUUGGAGAAAAAGGAAGAGAAGGGUAAAAAGGUAAAUAAUAAAAAGAUGGGUGAUGAUAGCGGUGGGUUGAGUGCUAAUAAGGCUGCUGGGCAAGAAGAAGAGGGCAGUACGGCUCCCUUUCCAGAGAGGGUAAGCAUUUUUAUAAAUUAAAAUUAAAAAUUAUUUGGGUUGGUUUAUAAUUGAAACUUUUGUAUUUUUGGUAAAAAAAAUUUCAGCUGGGUUGGUGUUGGAUCUGUGCAAUUUUGGUUUAUGCUGUUGAUCAAUAUGAUUUAAUGAUGUUAUCUGAAAAUUUCUCCUUGAAAUUGUAAAUUUUUGUUUUUCUGGUGGUGUAUUUUGAUUUAUUUGUGUCGUUUGAAGUGUUUCCUGUUUAGAAUGUGCUAUAGUUGUGAUUGAAAAGAAGACCUGUUUCUUCAUCUGAAUAAUUUUGGCGGAUUUGGAGCACAUGAGGUUUUUUUAUUUCUGCCAAUUAUUAUAAAUUUUAGCUUUAAGUUAUGCAUUUAUUCUAUUCCAUUUAUAAUGUGUAUUGGAACUGUUUAUUGAGUUUUUAUGCCUUUUUAUGGAAUGACGUUGUACAAAAACGUUUUGUUGGUUCUUGGCUGUGCUGAUUGCUGCCGUCUAUCACUCUUUGAUAUUAGAAUAAAAUUAUACUUAGUAGACUUUGUGAUUGCAUUUUUAUGGCAAUUCUAGCAUUUUUUAGAUUUGAGUAUCAUUGUGAUUUAUUAUCUUUUCAAUAUUCAUUGUUUUGCAAUAACUGUAACUUUACAAUUUCCAUUUAUCGUUUUCAUGUAUCCCUUUCUGAAGGUUCAAGUAGGAGGGUCACCUGUGUACAAAAUAGAGAGGAAGCUAGGAAAAGGUGGAUUUGGUCAGGUGUUUGUUGGUCGUCGAGCUCAUGGUGGAAAUGAACGCUCAUCAGGUGCUGGGGCUGUGGAGGUAAAAUCAGUAUAAAUUGAUUUGCCCUUGUGAAAAGUUGAAUUGCAGAUGUGUUUAUGUUAAAUGAUCAAUCGUGUAUUCCCUCUCAUUCUGCUUGUGUUUUUCCAGGUAGCUCUGAAAUUUGAGCACCGAAACAGCAAAGGCUGUAGCUAUGGCCCUCCGUAUGAAUGGCAAGUUUACAAGUAGGUACCUUUUUUUUUUUUUUGUCCUUGCCUGUUUCUUGUGUUUUGUGGAGUUGAGGAUUUGUUAACUAAUGACUGGAUUUUAAUUGAUGUGAGAUUAUAUUGAAAAUUUUGGUGUAACAGCACUCUUGGUGGUAGUCACGGAGUGCCUAAAGUACACUUUAAAGGAAGGCAAGGAGACUAUUAUGUGAUGGUGAGAUCGAGAGUCCUACCUCUCUUCAUUUCUGCAUCAUAACUUAUUGUCAUUUGUCUGACUUUUGCGUACACAUUUGCAGGUUAUGGACAUGUUAGGUCCCAGCUUGUGGGAUGUGUGGAAUUCUUCAGGGCAGACGUGAGUAUCUGUGUUCUUAUAUCAAAUUCUCUCUCUCUCUCUCUUCAUGGAUUUCAUGAUUUGUUGUUUUCUUAUUACCUUGAGAAUUCAUAAUUUUGAAUGUCUCACGAAUUGCUGGGUUAACAGUGUAGUUGUGGAAUAUUAAGAGGCUUGCACCCUAAGGCUUUUCUUGUGGGGCCCUAGGAAGGCGUUUCAAGGCACAACUAUAAGGCUUAAUUUAAAUGAUGUUCUUGCCUCAAGAAGCCAUGCUUUCAUGAAUUUGAAGGCUUCAUUCAGUUGAAGCUUAUGGUUCAACUUGUAAGGCUGUCAAGCAAGCGGAUGCUUCUUGCUCUGCAAAUUCUUUGGUUUAGUGUGUGUCUCGUGUGCCUUAUAAGAAAUUGCUUAGUCCUACCUGCAUUUAUCCUCACCAAAUGCUUUUUUUUAUUUUAGUUCCCAUGCACAUAACUUUUUGGUUUGUCCACUGUGUCUACGGAAAUUGGGACGGUAUUAUGUUCAGAUCCUAAGAACUAAUGUGAACAGAUAUUGCUAUAUUCUACUUUUCUUUACUUGAAGAAGCUUUUCCCUGCAUCAUGUUGAAUAAUUACGUAAAAAUAGUUUUUUGUGAAUGCGCUGUGAUAAUUAAGGCUGCAAACUCUUUUGUUUGUGGUUUAAUUGUAUUCUUUAUCUAGCGGUGACCUUUUAUUUAAUCUGAAGAUUGUACCAAUGUGCGAUGUUGAAACUUACCUAAGCUUCUCUCUGUAGAUGGAAUUAGGCCAGUAGACAAUAGAAUUUGUCUAUUUGCAUUUAGUUUUAGGAAACAUACUUUAAAACUUUUCUAAUAUACCAUUUUUCCCCAUUUGACAUUUAUUGCACUACAUCCUUUUGAGAUUGGUACUUUAAUACAGCUUUUUAUUACUGAAUUAAAUGAAUUAUUUUUAAGACGUAUAUUGCAUGUUACUAUAUUUUUGUUGUGCACUACUUGCGCUUACCAUAGCUUAUUUCUUAUUUAUUUCAUAUGUAGGAUGUCCUCUGAAAUGGUAGCUUGUAUUGCAGUCGAGUCUUUAUCAAUCCUGGAGAAGAUGCAUUCAAAAGGGUAUGUUCUUGUAAUUUCAAGUUUUACAUGUAACUUGAAAUUUGGUGAAAACUUUGCCAGCUUCAUUUUCCAAUUUAGCAGUCUUUUUUGGUAUUUAUUAUUUUUAUAUACUAAUUAUUAUUUUUCAUAUUGAUUCCAUUUGAUAUUAGUUAUGUGCAUGGAGAUGUAAAGCCUGAGAAUUUUUUACUUGGUCAGCCAUCUACACCACAAGAGAAGAAGUUGUUUCUAGUUGACCUAGGAUUAGGUGAGUAAUUUCAUUUUUAUCCUUACUAUACCCUCAUUUUUUACUUUUUUUGAGAGUCCUAACAUCUUAUCAAUAUAUGAUAUUGCAGCAACAAAGUGGAGAGACAGCAGUACUGGACAGCAUGUUGAAUACGAUCAACGUCCUGAUAUGUUUAGGUUAGCGUUUGUCUAGAUGCAUUCAAUUAUGCAAUCUAUUAUUUUACCACUAUUUCUGAUUCCUUUUCUGUUAUAUUUUUUCAGAGGAACUGUUCGAUAUGCUAGUGUUCAUGCGCACUUGGGAAGAACUGCUAGUAGAAGAGAUGAUCUUGAGUCACUUGCAUAUACCUUGAUAUUCCUUCAUAAAGGAAGAUUACCGUGGCAAGGCUACCAGGUAUCAAUUAUUUUCUAUAUAUUUGGUUGAAUCCUACAUCCUGUUUGGAUUCUUUCAUUUUAAUUUAAAGCCAAUCUAGUUACACUGUUUCUUCCAAAAUGUCAGGGUGAUAAUAAAUCCUUCCUAGUUUGUAAAAAGAAGAUGGCUACUUCUCCGGAAAUGCUUUGCUGUUUCUGCCCUCCUGCUUUAAAACAGUUUCUUGAGAUUGUGGUGAACAUGAAAUUCGAUGAGGAGCCCAAUUAUUCCAAGUUAAUAUCUUUAUUUGAGGGUUUGCUCGGACCAAAUCCGGCUAUAAGGCCAAUAAAUACUGAGGGUGCUCAAAAGGUCAGCAUUUUGGUAUGGCAAUAUUAUUUUUUUCCCGCUGGUCACAAUUGCAGAUUUUAAUGAGAGCUUGUGAAACUUUUGCUAGAUUAUCUAUCAAGUUGGUCAAAAACGGGGUAGGCUGAAUGUUGAGGAGGAAGAUGAUGGGCAACCAAGGAAGAAGGUUCGUCUGGGAGUGCCCGCCACACAAUGGAUUUCUAUUUACAAUGCUAGGCUACCCAUGAAACAGAGGUAUGGACUUUCUUUCAUGAAUAGAUAAUUGUGUUUCAUUUUAUGAUGCAAAUUGGAUAUUGAGGUGUCAUCUGCCACUUUUCUACCACAUACAAUCCCCCCCCCCCCCCCCCCCCCCCAACGGACAAUGUUUAUUGGAUGCUUUUAGCAUUAGCGUUCAAUUAUGUGGAGCUAAGGUGGAUUUGGAGCGUAUUCAGAUCUAUUGCUUUUUCUUUUUGGUUAUAUAACUGAAUAUAUUUGAAUGGGAGGUGGUUCGAUGUUGUUAUUAAUUACCUACCUACAAAAUCUGUCCUAGAUGAUGACCCACCCCCCCCCCCCCCCCCCCCCCCCCCCAAAACAACAUUUGUUCCAUCUUGUGAAGCUAAAUGAAUUCUAGUUUGAUUAUGCUCAUUUCACUUUGGCAUACAAACUACACUUAAAAGAACUAUUGUACGGGUGAAAUAAGCCCGUUAUAAAACUCCAUUACAACUGAAAGUUAAAUAAAACACAUAGCCAAUGAGCGGAAAAAGGCUACUCAUAUUAUAUAUGGUUUCCUAAAUAUACUAUUGCCUGAUAACCCACUUGUCGUGUAAUUAGGUACCACUAUAAUGUCGCUGAUGCAAGGUUGGCUCAACAUAUUGAGAGAGGAAUGGCGGAUGGUCUGCUUAUAAGUUGUGUGGCAUCCUGUUCCAAUCUUUGGGCACUAAUUAUGGAUGCUGGAACUGGUUUCACCAACCAAGUUUAUGAAUUAUCACCGUUCUUCUUACACAAGGUGAAUUGCUGCUCUGCAUUUUGUACUUGCCAUUUUCUUUAUUGUUUACUGCUUAAAUGUACAAAAUUACACAUACUGUUCUUCUGAAUUUGUAGGAGUGGAUCAUGGAACAGUGGGAAAAGAACUAUUACAUUAGUUCAAUUGCUGGUGCUACCAAUGGAAGCUCUCUUGUAGUGAUGUCCAAAGGUUUGUUUGCAUUGUUUCCUUUUUCUUGUCAUAUUUACUGAUAAAAUUCUGUUGUUUGCUUGGGGAAAUGUAAUCCAUUUUUAUUCUCGUUGAAAAUUAGUGCUUGUACUUGCAGUUGCUGUCAUGCCAAGUUGUAAUUGAUAGAUGUGCAAGAUUUAAUUGGAGAUUGUUUCUAAUUGAUGGCUUUGAUUUCAUUUACUAAUAUAUGUGGUACUUUGUAUGUGGAUUAAUACAUUAUGACAUAUUGCAUAUGGUUUUUCAUGUGUCAUGAACUGUACUUCAUUACGUGGUUGUAUAAAAGAAUAAAAUUGAAGAAAAGAAAUUGCUUAGGCUCAGUUCUCAGCUUGAACUCGUCUUUAUUUGUUCCAAAUUGAGCUGGAGUUAUAUUUCCCAAGCUUGAAUAAUUUUUUAAAAUGUUUUAAGUUCAUCAUGUGAUUGCAUCCUAGUGUUUAUUGUUAGCAAUUAAUUGGGAGAGUUUAUGAUCUAAUUUCCACAGGUACUCAGUACACACAACAGUCUUACAAAGUAAGCGAUUCAUUCCCCUUCAAGUGGAUAAACAAGAAAUGGAGAGAAGGCUUCCAUGUCACGUCAAUGGCUACUGCUGGAAGUCGAUGGGGUGUUGUCAUGUCUCGCAAUGCUGGCUUCAGUGAACAGGUUGAGUUUCAGUUUUCUUUUUAUCAACAUUUUCUCUGAAAAUUUAUUGUCUUAGUUCUGGAAUUGCUUAAUUCCCCUCUAAUAAAUUCUGGUUUUGGUUUCAAAGGUAGUGGAGCUAGAUUUUCUCUAUCCAAGUGAGGGCAUCCACAGGAGGUGGGAUGGUGGCUAUCGAAUAACAUCAACAGCAGCAACUUGUGAUCAAGCUGCUCUUAUCUUGAGUGUUCCCAGGCGCAAACCUGGUGAUGAAACUCAAGAAACUCUACGUACUUCUCAAUUCCCAAGCACUCAUGUUAAGGUAAAUAACAGGAUUUUAUCCUCAAAUUUUUAAAAGGUGUUUCUAUUUGUUCUAUUUCUGCUUACUGGUUACAAGGGACAUGAUAUUCAUGUCUGCUCAACAUUGAAAACAGAAUACCCAAAGAAGAUUGAAUGCACUCAUUGUUCACGUGAUGUUUCUUCAGGAGGAAUUAUUUGCACAUAUAUUCUUAUACACAUUUGUGAUUUCGAUAUGCAGGAAAAAUGGGCGAAAAAUCUUUAUCUCGCCUGUCUGUGCUAUGGGCGAACUGUAUCUUGAAGUCAAAUGUAAAGAACUUGGAGGGGAUUUUAAUGCAUGGUGGAAUGGGAAAAAAAAAAAAAGGCUAGUGAGAGAGCUUGGUGGUCCUAUUUUUCCCUUCAUUUUGUAAAAAAUAUUAGGAGGUUUAUUUUGAAGCCUGAAGCAAGAAGAGAGUAUUAUUGUCAUGUAUGAAAUAUAUUUUUAUUGCAGCAUCAUCCUCUUUUGGCUCAUGAUCUUAGGAGGCUUUUCAAAUAAUUUUGGUGUUUGACAUCAUUUUACAAGUAAUUUCAAGUGUUUAGAAAAUAAUUUUAAAGAUGCGUGAUGAAGCGCAUGGAUACUAGUUAUGCCUUGGAAUGAAAGACAAUUCGGAAUCAGCUUAUAAUAUAUACACACGCACACACAUGCAUAUGUUAAAUAUAAUGAAAUUUGAAGAGUAAUGAUGAACCAGUGCGCGCUAAACAUGAGAAAGAGUUGUCGUUAAUAAUAGACAGGUAAAAGAUUUUAGUAAUAGAUAUUUAUAGUUGAAUUUGACGUCAGGGGCCUGUAUGGAAAAUAAACUACCAACUGUGUUCUUAUUUGAUAUUAUGUUACCGUUCGGGGACAAAGUUAUUAUCAACCCCUUUCCAACAGUGCUAGAAAUGGUGACGUGUCAAGAUCUGACCCAUGCAACAAAAAGAGAUCAGAUUCUGCAUGCUCGCACAGCAAAGCAGAGAGAUAAAACGAUUUGUUUUUAAACACAAAACAGACAAAGCGCAGCAGGAGCAGAGAGCGCCAUGGCUUCUUCCUCUCACCCCUUAACUAUCCAGCAACCACUGUCUUUAACCUCAAAAAGCUCUACAUGUAAUCUCUCUCUCUCUCUCUCUCUCUUACUGAAUUUUUAGCCUUCUUGAGUUGUAAUAAUAUUUUUAUAUUCAUUUCAUUCUCACUUCUCUUGUCUGAGUCUCAACUUCAUAACUACUAAUGGGUUAUAUGCUGAUACCAAUGGCUAAAUUUUCAUAUAAUCCUUCACUUUUUGUCACUCUUAGCUAGUUUCCUAACAAACGUAUCUGAGUUUUCUUUUCCUUUUUGUUGCCCAUGUCUCAUAUAUAAUUGACUACGCUUCAGUUGCUUAUGCAAAUUUCUUUUUGGAGAAAUUGUCUCAUCAAGAAAGUGAUUGUUGUAUGUAUGUAUAGGAGUAAUUCUUUGAUUGCUUUAACGUUAGAUUUCAGUCUUCAACUAGAAUUGUGACAAAAUUAGGCACAUCUUUUAUAAUUGCAAUUUCCGUUCAGUUGUGAUAUUGUUUUGACGCUGGAUUGAACAAUUAUAUUUGCUUUUCUGAAAUAAUGGCAGAUAAGUUGAGGUCGGUCGGAUUUCGUGUGAAAUGCAGCUUGGACAAUGAGAGCUGUAGUUCUGGUGUUUCUGACAGCUCAUCGGAGCCAAGAAAGCUGAAGGUUUGAUAUUUAUUCAACAUUUCUAUAGUUUGUUGUUACUGUCUUAUCUUUAUGAAUGUGUCAUUUUGAAGUCCCCAGAGUGUAUCAUAAAUCUGAUGCUCAGGCUUACUUUCUAUGACAGGAGUCUCAAGUAUUAAUAUCUCGUCGUAAGUGUCUUACGUGUAUAUGUUCAACUAUAGCCCUGAUAAGCAAUUCUGGAUCGUUGGUUUCUGUGCCGAAGGCCGUUGCUUUGGACGGAAAAGAAAGACCUGUAUGCAGAAAUUGUGGUGGUAGUGGUGCUGUUCUCUGUGAGUAUUAGUUUUGUUAUUCCUUUUUCCGUCUCACUUGUAAUAUGUGAAUAAGUGAAUGCAUUCUCAGCUAAUUAUCUCCAAAUAAUAUUUUCACUGAAGAACUGGAAAAGUUUGCUUUUAUUUUUGAUGUUCCAACUACUUGUAGCUCCUGUUGAAAUAUGCAUUCUCAUGUUUCUUUACUGUCAGUUUUGAUCACAGCAAAUGUAAAACAAAUCUGACCAUUGUGUGAUUUUGGGGUCAUUGGACCUUUGACAUCUAAAUUUGUCUUUUGCACUGGUUUUUUAUUCUCCCUUUGCUGAAAAAAGGAUUAAACGUAGUUUAAUUUUUUGCACUAUUAUUACAAUGAGGCUGAAUAUAGGUCCAUUGAUCUUUGCAAAUAGUAUGGUUUUUUGAAAUUGAAAAGUUGGUAUGAAAUCUCUCAUUAUUUUCUGUUACAACUUAGAAAGAUGGAAAAUCUGAUUUGACGACAUUUCUUUUAUCUGAAACAGUAAUUGUUUGUGGCUGCAAAUGGACCGAAAAAAAUGUAUCUUGAAAUUUUUCUGUUGUAGAUUUGUUGGUCACUUCCAAUUUCCCUUUGGUCUGGAAGAUUUUAAUUUGCCUUUUAUUUAGGUGAUAUGUGUGGUGGUACAGGAAAAUGGAAAGCCCUCAACCGGAAACGUGCUAAAGAUGUUUACGAGUUCACAGAAUGUCCAAAUUGUUAUGGUAUGAACUUUUUCCUCUGAUACUCUUGUCCUGUUGUUAUAUUAAAACUGAUGAGUAAUGAGUCUGCUUCUGCUUCAAAUUUGUUCGUUUCCAACCACUGUGGAAUUUGACCUUUUUUAUGAGCCAUUACUAAUACUUUCUGUGGCCAGGUCGUGGGAAACUUGUGUGUCCAGUAUGCUUAGGCACUGGUUUACCGAAUAACAAAGGUCUUCUUAGGAGGCCUGAUGCACGGAAAUUACUUGACAAGAUGUACAAUGGUCGAUUAUUACCAAAUUCUUAAGUAUGGCCUUUCACCUUGGUGUCUGUAAUGUGAACUGCUAUAGCAAUGAUAAUCGUUCGUGUUUAUCAAUUUGUUUCACAGUCAGCAAUUUUUGUACAACUGACUACCAUGCCAGCUUAAUCCUUUGCAACCCGCAUAGGUUUGAUUGAUGUGGAAAUUCUUUAACCUGUGUUUUCUGGAAUUCUGUAGGGUGGACUGUUUUGAUUGAUUAUGCUUCGACAAGAUGAAUGAAGCCUGUGCACUGGAGCAGUACACACGAUCAAUCUUGCUAUUACUACAGUUUUGUCCUGAACACUGAACAGAAGCCCUAAAGUGACGAGAGUUCAUUUACGAUAGGCAAUUAUUCCUUGUGUUGAUUUGUUUAUUUCUCUUAUGCGACCUGAUUCCAAGUAGCUAAAUGUACCAUGGAUUAUGCAAUAUUUGAAGGCAAUUAUUGCCAUUUUAGGAUUAAAAUCUUACUCAUCUUAUCAUUGCCACUCAAUCACAGAAUGAUAAAUGAUAAAUAUUAGCUCUAGUCUGAUUUACAAUAUUUUUCGGAGCCCAAGUAUAAAAUAAAAGGAGGACACUCUAAAUGCACUUAAAUUUUAUCCUGUGAAAAUGAUAUGAAAAAGAACAAUCCUGCACAUUGAAUCUCUCCUCAGAUUCAGUGGAGACAAUGAAUGCUAUUGUCUUCAACAAGCAACUUAUGUAUACAUUUCAUUUGCUAUUUCAAGAGAAUAAAUCAAUAUAUAUACCCAAGUAAUCUUGUAUAUGCUGGAAACUUUUGAUUUGCAACAUACGCUGUGCCAUUCUCUUCGUCGUGUACCUGAUUCACUCAACAGGAACAUAAAUGCUUCACCAGCACAUCUUUCAACAACAAAAUUGGAUUGUUUCUCAAUACAAACAACUUAAGGGAUGGAAGAAAGAAAAUACUUGUGGAACCUGAGUGAAAGCAUGCAAUGGGUAGCCAAAAAUCAGGGCUGACUGCUGGGCAGCUUAUUGAGAACUGUGUGCUCUGGCUUAUGAUCGCAUUCAUAGUCAAGAUGAACAAAUGCUCGUUCAACUUCAGGGAGUUUCUCAAUCUUGUUCUGCAAGCUCUCUCCUAUUGCGUGUGCUUCUUUUAACGGUAAAUCUUCUGGUAGCUCAAUGUCAACCUUUUUCAAGAGAAUGAUAUUAAUUUACUAAAUUAAAAGAAUGGAGUUCCAAAAUGCUUACUAUAAGGGAGGUUUUAAUAGUAUAUGAAAUGUAUUCAAGCAUCAAAUUAUCAUAAUCGGCCAGGAGCUGCACCAAAGUUAAAUGUUAAGAGAGACCUUCAAUAGACCUUAUGAUUCCAUCUUAAAGACAGCUCUGCAUGAUUUCAAUUUGAUAAAGAUAGUAGAAAAAUUAUUGUCAAAGCCAUUGCAACCAGAAGGUGCUGACUCUAUCCUUUCAUUUCCAGUUAAUUUAAUUGCUUUAUGUUUGCGUUAUAUAGUAUUAUAACAUAGUGGUUGGAUUGCAGGUAUGUCAUAUGAAAGAGAAGAGAGUCGUAACUAUUGGAAGAAUGAAGAUCAUUUUCAAGAUUAACCAUAAACUAGAUACAGAACAACCAACCUCUACAAAAUAAAGAACGCCGAAAGUGUAAGCUCGAACUGUGUCGAUACGCUUGACUUCAGGGUGCCUUAUGACAAGAUAUGUCAAUUUCUGCAAGAUUUCAGGAGGAGCCGAUUGUCCCACAAGUGAAACUGCAUUAAUAAGCCCCAGUUCAGAGUAGUUUCGGACCAUAUUACCAGGAAGAAUCGAGCAAAAUUAAAUGUAAUUUAGCCUUGGUUUCAAUAAACUCAUUAACACUAAAAAGGAUUCUUCUAAAUCAUUCUCACAAAAAAUCAUGACUCAGCCAUAGUCUCCCCAUCCUCAAGCUGACUCAAAUUCCACGUUUUUCUUUUCUUUUCAUUUAAAAAGAAUGAAAACAUAGUGGCAAAACUUAUCCAGAGCAAAUCAAAACAUGUAACCAAAUUGAUCUUCUACCAAAAAAACAUGAAAAAAAAAAAAAAGAUAACAGAAAGCCCCAAUAGACCCAUACCCUUAGACUCUAGUACAUCUCUCCAAAGUUGUGAAACCAAGCUUUGCAAUGAUCAGUACCAACAAUGUAAAAGAAUAAAACUAGAAGCUGUGAAUAUAAGCAUUCCUAUCAACUUAGUUUCUGGGGAUAAACUAAAGUUGUAAGUUAUCAAUACCAUACUUAUUAUUCCCCCUGUAAGCUGGAAGGAUUUUAUAAGAAAUUAUUAGAUCAAAUAAUACCAAAAUGGCUGAUGAAAGUACCUGCAUUUUCCAUAACAGUUUCGGACCAAUUUGUUAUUGUGUAAACUGCCAGAAGAAUGGCACCUGCAGGAUCAAUCCACCAAUAGAAACUAUCACCAAGAACAGCAGCAACUAAUCCUACUACAUUUGUUACCACAUCAAAAUAGUGAUCCUGAGAUUCAACAAUAGAAGUUAGAACAAUUGAUAAAAAUAUGGAAAAUAAAAGAUCUACAAAUUAUUGAAAAAGCAGAGCUCAAAAACCUUAGCAUAUGCGCGGACAAUCUUGUUUCCUGAGCUUUUGCAGUAAAUCCAGAGGGCAAGUUUUACUACAGUAGCACCGAUCAUGAUCGAGUAUAACCAUUGCAAUUGGACUGUAUUCAUCUUUUUAGGCGGUUCAUCUUUAACUAGCUUUUCUACAGCCUCGAUCAACACCUGAAACCCUGCAAAAAAUGAAGGCUGUAACAAUCUCCUUUUUCACAGGAAGUCUAUGUCAAAUUCAUGUUCCAUACAAUUCAGGAUACAAAUGUGAGUAUAUGCAAUUAAAUCACAACACAAGUUAGUUCUUUGCACCACAAAUUUGUAGUUGUUCUCUUACACUGAACUAGAUGAAAUAUGAUGUAUGCAAGACAUGAAGCUCAAUGUAAAUAUCACAGUUAACAAGCAAGAACAGAUUAAAAUCACUGGCAAAUAUGGGAAGGUUAAGGCUUUGCUGACAUACCGAGUGUAGCCAUUAUAGCAGCAAAGAUGAUUAUGCCUACUGGCUGCACCCUCAAUUUCCCAAUAGGAUACUUAUAGAUAUUUAUGUUUUUCAUCGCCACAUGAGUGAACCAAAGUAUGCCACCGGCCAUUAGAUCAAGUAAAGAAUCCAGUGUCGAUGCAGCAAUGGCUAUGGAUCCACUCUUUAUUGUAGCAAAUAUCUGCAUGCCAUGUUGUCUCAUUAUUUCAACUGCUUGAAUAUGUAAACUGAAUUAUCUGCAGCAACAUAUCAUAUGUACUCUUUUGUUUUACAUAUUUUUAUAUGAAAAUUAUUUGUUUAAAUGAUUUAAUAUCAGUUUAUUUCCUUUCUUUAAAUAUUGUUAAAUAAUUAAUAACCUUGAAGGCCACUUAUAAAAUUCCAAGCACUUUAGAGGUUUCUGCGAAAAGUAAUCAUUGAAGUUAGAACACACCAUAGUCAGAAAAGCUUAUUAUUCGAAUUUGAUUGAGAUUGGUAGUAGUGUUUAAUUACCUUACACGCCAGCAAAACAAUAUUGGCAUAAUUAGAAAUCUUCAUUGCUCUUUCAUGUUGAACUUGUUCCUGAAGAUCUUCCUCGAUGAAGCAAUCAGAAUCCACCAAAACAUCAACUUCCUCAAAGGAUUUCAGAGUGGCAAAUUGUGAUGCAUAGUAUUCCUUUUCUUCUACAAGGGUAUUAACAUAAGAGCAUCCCACGUAAGUUGCAUUAAUAUGUAGUCAUCACUCAUCAGAGAGCAUGAUAGUCAGUUUUGAUAUCAAAAUACGGCCACUCAGAAAAUAUUCAAUCUUUAGAACCGCCGAUCAAUCAAUUACUUGAAUUCUUCUCUUCAAGUAAUAGUUGGUUCAACAUUUCCUUAAAAAACAUCCUCAUUAAGUAUGCAUGUGCAAAUAAAUAUAACACAAACAUCAUACCUAUAUAUAUAUACACACACACACAUGAACAUAAAAGAAUGUAUGAAAGUACCCAUGCAUGUUUUGGAUUGAGGUUGCUUUUAUUUCUAAUAAUUAAAAAGAAACAAAAAAUGUGAUGAGCAACUGAAUACAUGACGUAAUUUUGUAACGCCUCGUGAUUAAUGCUUAAGCUAUUGAUGCACGGACUAAAGUAUCUUGAUAGUAUUGCUCACCAUAUAAAUACAUAGAUAACGUAUCAAUAUAUCAUAUAUGUAUUUAUAAUAUAAUGAUAAUAAAAAGCAGAUCAGCCCACCAUUUCUUUUUCACUUUCCUUCAGUUUCUCACCAACCAAACACCCCCACAAACACUAACAAAGAACAAGCCGCUAUACCUGCACUUAAGGCUUUGGUUUUAGAGGUGUCAACAUCAAAAGGAGCCUCGGCAUCAAUACCAGCCAACACCUUCUCAGGCAACUUGGAAACAAACUCGUGCCUGAGUGCGUUCACCGAGUUACGUCGACUCAGGCUCAGCCUUCCGCUCCCGCUUCUCUUCCUCUCCCUACUACUGCUCGACUUCCUCCGCAGCAGCGGCUGCGAACCCGAAUCACGAUCCAUUCUCUAUACCCGGCCCAAUAUCCCACGUGUGUGUUUCUUCUCUCUUUCUCUCUCGCCUCCCAAUGAUGAUAGAUAGAUGGAUAGACUAUUCAAAGUUAUGGUUUCUAAUAACAGAAAAGUGUGAUUAGAUUUUGCCUUUCUGUUUUGUUGAUGAGACAAUAAUGAUUGCAAGGCACAACUCUUUAAAAGCAUUUUUAAGAUCUUACAUUUGUCUUUUAAUUAAAUUAGAACUAUCUACUCUAAGAGAUUAUAUUGGAUUCUUGACAAUUGUAUUACAUUAAUUUAAUUAAAAAUUUAUAAAGAAUUUUUUAGUUCAAAUAUUUAAAAAGAAUUUUUGAGUUUAGUACCCUUUCUCACCGUUUGAAAAUUAUUAAAUAGCUAAAAAGUCAAUAAAAUUAUCUAAUAAUGUUCAUGCUAUUAAAAUACCAGUAAUGCUACACAUCCCAAAUUUCUUAUCCCAAAAAGUUAUCCCAAAUGAUGUGUCAUUAAUUGAGUGGUUGAUAAUUAUUUACAAUAUCCAAGUGAAUUAAUUGUAUUAUCUCACCAACCAAUUGAUAAAUGCCACAUCAUUUGGGAUAACUUUUUGGGAUAAAAAAUUUGGGAUGUGUAGCAUUAUUGUUAAAAUACAGUACCUCAAUAACAUAGUCACAGUAAAAGUUGGUAAAACGGAUUACUGAAUUGUUUUCGUGUCGUAUUAAUUUCGUAUAUUUAAGCUAACCCAAACAUCAUCUAUUUGAUAAUUGUGUCAAAAUAUUAAGAUUCUAAUUCGAUAUGGAAAAUAAAUAAAUUAUCUAAUAAUUCAUUUAAUAUAUAUGUAUUCAACAAGAUUUACAUCAAAUAUCUACACUCGAUAUUAUAAAAUAUACAUAUUUACCAAUAUUAUUACACAUCUAUAAUUUUGAACAUAUGCAUGGUGCUUUAUUUAUAAAAUUCUAUAUAUAUUUAGAACACCAAUAAAGUAAAUGUGUAGAUAUGGGUAGCAUGUAUAUUUAUAAUAUUAUAUUUGAAGAGGGAAUUAUGUCUAAUGUCUAAAUUUUGAUGACAAAAACUUACAAGUUAAUUUACAAUAAAAAAACAUAACCAUGUCAUUAAUUAGGUAAAUGGGUUGAGAACUUUAAUAUUAACCCGAUAGAGAAAAAAAAAUUAUAUAGAUUCGGACCCCGCCCAUUUAAGAAUGAUAUCAAAUUUGAUAACUCAUAUAUAUUUAUUUGUAUCGUGUUUGUUUUAAGUAAUCAGAUUGUAUCAAACUUUGCCGUUUCUAGUCACUAUAUUAUAUGUACUAAAUUUUAUUACAAAUAAUAUGUGUAUUAUAUAUAGGUAGUGGCUAAGUUAGAUCAACUCUAUGGUAAUAUAUUAACAAUGACCGUCAAAUCAUAAUAAUAAAUAUAAAUUUAAUAUUUAUCUUUAUAAUCAUGUGCUGAUCAUCAAUACUCUACCGCAGAGCGGAUCCAACUUAGCGCCAAUCUUAUAUAUAUUAUUACAACAUUGGUGUGAAAGUCAAACAUUGAGGCUGAUUAUUAAUAAAUAACAGUGUUUAGUGGUUGUUGGGCACCCUCGAAGUUUGGUAUAAUAACAGUUUGGUCUCUUUUUUAAAAAAUUAUUCUAUUUUCAGUCAUUACAUUAUCUAUAUCUUGUUUGCAAUUAUUAGAAUUACGUGCUUAUGUUGCAACUAAAGUUUGUUAUAAGUUUUGUUAUUCGUACAUUUUUCUUUUCUUUUUUUACGACUUACGUGUUAAUUUAAGACAUAUGCUACAUAAUAUUUGAGAAGUGUAAUGAUAGAAGUUGAUGAAUUAUUUUAGACUUAAACCCAUGAUUUUAUAUAUCCAUUCAAACACAUGCUUAAGAGAGAAAGAUAAGUUUGAGAUCAUUACUUUAGUUUGCCAUGACUGAUCCUUAUCUGCUGAGCUCUUCUAAAGCUACUGCCUUGUUUAGAUUCACUGCAAAUCACAACUUCAAGCAAUAAUUUGCACACAUACAAGCUAUGGAGACAGAGAGAGAAGAGGUUUUGUUUUUAACACUCUCGGCCAAGUAAAAAAAAUGAGUGAACAGUAACUUUCAAUUGGUCAAGGUUUCUUAAAUAUUUUAUUUGAGUAUGGGGACCUUUCAUGGAUUAGUACAAAAUUUUCUAUUCUAUUAUGAGUUAGAAUAACACAAUUUAAAGUUAUAUUUGUCGAUACUAUACUUCCUUAUAGGGUGUAACAAAAUUAGAUUUAUUAACAUCAUAAAAGAAUCUGUGAGAAUUAUUGUUUAGUAUUUGAUAUUAGUUAUGCAUUAAUACGAUAAAAAAUAAAUAAUUAAAAUGAUUUAUGCUAACCUAUAAUAUAUAAGUAAUAAAUUCAACAGUGUAAUGAUAGCAGUUGAUUAAACACAAGAAAGUACUUAUCGUUAAAAUAUGGUUGUUGCCUGCUUGAAAUGAAAUCCUAGAUAAAUCAUAAAUGUCCCUCUCGCGGCAAUUCUCAUUUGUCUCUUUACCCAUGCUUGUUUCCUCACUCAUUUUCUCGGACCAUGAGGAUUGAAAGUGAUAUACUGAUACUUCAGGGGACUAUAUUGUUAUUAUGUUAAAUUUAGGGGUAAUCAACCGACAUUUUCUUCCUCUUCUAAGUUGUAAUAUGCAAAUUUCAAUUAUACUGCUGUCAGCCGUUGGGUAUAAAUAGUAGUAACCCUAACCCGUUAUUGAGGUAUUUUUAAACAGUUUUAUUUAAUUAAUUUCAUUUGUAGUCAAAUUAAUUCCUCAACAUAUGUAGUCAAAUUAAUUAAUUAAUUAAUACCAUAGCACAACUAGCUACAUGCCUAAAACUUUGGUCAAUUUCAUUUGUAGUUUUGUACAAUAUACAAAGUCCUCACACUUCUUUUAUUUUUUUCUCCCCUCCCCCCUCUUUUCUUUUAUAUAUAUAUUUUUUAUCAUUUUCUUCGGAUAAGAUACAUGACUUAGAUAACAAUUGCAUUGGAUGUUCAUUGCCUCACAUCUGACCCGGAAAUGAGUUUCCAAAUAAUAUUAUUUUAAUUAAACCAAUGGGUUUAUUUAACUGUAAUGGUCAUGUUCCAACACAUCGAAGUUUUAAUGAUUCGCUUAUUAUUUGGUCAACCAUAGGAAAGUCCAACUGACCAAAGCAAUGAGAAAAAUCUGGUAACCAAGCCAAAUUUUUAUAUAAUAAGUUAGAACUUAAGAUUUAUAUAUUUAUUCAUCAACAUCAAGCCUUAAUAAUCAAAUAUUAUUGUAUGUAAUGAUAAUAGGAAAAACCAAGUUAGAAUAUGACAUCUCAAUAUUUUUGUUUUGUUCUAUUUUUUUUUAAUGAAUUAUUAUCAUACACGAUGCAUUGUAUAGUAUACCAUUAGCCUCCUCCGAGCUUAAUUUGAAACAAACAAAAAUUAAAAGAAUUCUUUGAAUUGAUUUCGUAACGUUUUAUUUGUAUUAUUAAGAGGCCAAACCAAUUGAAACUAUAUAUAUAUAUAUGCUUUAGUACAAUCAUCUAAUGGUACCAUCACAAUUACAAAAUCACUAAAUGAAUGAUAAUAUAUCUAAAUAAAUAUAUGUGUGAGAUGUUGUUGUCUAGGGAAAAUGGUGUAACCAAUGCACUCUUUCUCCACCAAAUGGCAAUGUUAAUGCAUUUUUAAGACCAACUUCUUGUCAGCUAUAGCUGUCCAUAUUAUAUCAUAUCUCCAAAUCAAUGACGUAUUUCAUGAUGUUACAUUUUCUAUGAAGCUUACUUUUCUUAAUUACCAUCAUUUUCUAUGAAGCUAACUUUUCUUAAUUACCAUAAAUUGAAAAUUGGAUUUUUUUUUUUUUUUUUUGACUUCUUUUAUCAACUUCUGUAAUCAAGUUGGUGAAAAAGGCAACACAUUCCAUGCAAAAUCUUCACCAACUUAUUGGCAUUGUUGGCAAUUUUCUUGCAACUAAAAUUUUCUUAUGCCCUCUUACUUUUGGAGAUUUGAAUAAAAGAAUCCACCUAGGAACCAGAUUUUCAUCCAACACAAUGUGAUUAUGAUCAUUUAAUUUGCAGCAAAUGGCAUGAAGCAGAGAUUCCGAGUAAAAUAGUAUUUUGAAUUGUCCUGGUAUAAGUUGAUGAAUACACAGUAGCAGAUAGAAUUGGAGUCUAAUGACUUUACUUGGGUGGUGGAUUAAGGGUAGUAGCUGCUGUGGUUUUUGUUUACUUUUGGAAGCGCAAUCGUUAAAAUUUCGGUAAACGUGAUUCUAUCCCAAGACCGCCGAUCCGCUAUAGCUUAUUAAAGUUUGUGAUUCUCUCCUACGACAGCUCCAGCUUAAAAAUUUGUGAUUUUAUUCCUUAAAACUCACAGCAUCUCAAUACAAUGAUUUUACCCUUUUUUUUUGUUUUUGUUCCCUUGACCAAAUCAUGCCUCGUGUGAUUACUGGAAAGAAGAUUUCAGGGGGUAACAAAUUGCAACACAAGAACAGUUCAUCACUCUUAAGGAAACCAGAGCAAAUAGAAUAACUUACCGUAGAGUUUUCUAAUAAAUGUGGCUACAAAACUGUGAAACCAUUAACUAUGAACAGAAUAAUUUUUAAACUUGUACGCUCAAUUGUUUAGUUUAUGUUUCUGGGACGGACAUAAAUACUGCAUCUUCUUCAAGCCAAAGCAGUGAACUGAUGCAUUUUGUUUUCUCAGUGCACAAGAGUCUUUCUUCCAAAUGUGCAACCAGAUACUUCUUUGAAGCCGCUUCUUGGGGAAACUGGUAAGAGUCUGGCUGUCUUCAAGCUAUCAACCCAGAUCUAUUGCAUUUUCGUUUUCUCAAGGAGCUACUUGCGGCAUCAGAUGAGAAAUUCUAAAAUACCUCAGAUGUACUACAACCAAUUGAUGCAUGCAUGACAAGUGUAAUUGAAUUUAAUACAACCACCACUUGCAUGAUAGUGGUUCAAAAUAAAUGCACACAUGUCAUGGUAUUAUUGCUUGUUGUAUGAAUGACAUGGUACCUCAGAUGUAUUCUAGAAUUUCUCACAUCAGAUACUAUCAAGGAUCAUAAUUGUUAUUUUGUAUCCCUAACCGAAUGUAAUUCUUACUUAUCUUUCUUCUAUUACAAAAGCUGAAGGUGUUCGCAAGAACUUGAAACAGAAUCAAUCGUUGAUAAUGAAGAUUUGGGAUGUAUUGCUCCUUCUGGUUCCCUUGGUUUCCUCUUGGCUUCAUUUAGCCGCUUUGACUUAUUAAGAGACUGAUCUGCUUUGGAGAUGAUUUUUGAGACUGUAAAUCCUGCAACUUCAAACACCUGAGAUCUAUAGGGAAGUAAAGCAUUGCGAAGGACAAUGUCAACUCCUUCGUAGGUCCAAACACCUAAUGCUGCCUCUCCUUUAAGUCCGACAGAAAACCAGCCAAGUCCGGCAGCAGCAAUAUCUACAGAACUUGAAUCCCAACUGCUACCAGAGACAUGAAAUUCCUUUCUCACCCAUUUUCCUAGCUCUUCAACUCGUUUCUCUCCAAUUGGUGGCUGGAUCAACAACCAAUGCACAGAUAGCAUCAAAUUUAUAUAAGUUAAAACCAUAAUGCAACGUGCCUCUCCCAAGAUAAUAAUAAUAACAGAAACUACAUUUCAUUUGAAUGCCAAGGAUUACAAGCACCAAAACCAGACAGCACAGCAUGCCAAAAAUAGUUUGUUACCAAUUCGCAAAAGUACCUACAGAGCCUUUGGAAUUCAAUAUCCUUUUCUAAUCUGUUUAUUUCCUUUACAUGGCCUCCGAAGUUUGAUAACAAGGGUUCCUUUUGGCUUCAAAUUAACAGCCCAAAUUUCCCAAAGCAUAUGCUAAGGUCAUAUACAUGUUAAUAUAGAAGUAAACAUUACCAAUUGAGGGUGUUUCUUGCAUCUUAAUUUCUUGAUGGAUAUUAAACCUUCUUAUAUGGAUCAAGCUUCCUUCUUAUAUGGAUCAAGCUUAUAAUAUGAGAUCUAUUUUUGAAGUUUCUCCAAAUGUCAUUACUCAUCAAAAUUUCCUAUAUGACACGCUUUCUUUUUGCUGUCUCACAACUAAAAUAGCAUGUUGUUGAAAGAACUUGAAUAGGAAUAACUAAAUCCUAUCAGUUUAUUCAGAAAAAAAAAUGGUAAUAAGUUUUUCAGUUGAAUUUUGUAGAAAGACUAAUUCAACUACAUUGCUUCUCAACUGCUCAUCAAAAUCAAAGCAAUGGAGCACUCACUAUAAUUGCUCCAAAUUUUAGACUAUUAGAAAGUGAAAGAAACUGCAGAAAUAUCAUUUGCUAACUAGGGAAAGGCAUACCUGUAGCUGACGACCAAAAUGCUUCUCUACCAUUGUGCACGCAUUUUCUGUUUUCCCCAUGUGUAAUGGAAGAUAUGGUGAUGCCCACACUGUCACAUAGAUAGACUCUACAGAUGAUUCCUCAACAUCCAUCCUCAUGAGCCCGGCAAUGUGAAUGGAAUGACCUGCCUGCAGCAAGCGAAGAAGCCCAACUUGAGCUAAACACAUAACAAAGCUGCCAUAAUAAUAUUAAAAGAACUCUUACAUUGCUAAAAGAUCAAACACUCAAUCUGACUUCAAUAUGGACGCAUAAUAUCAUUGAAGCAAUGCUCUUAACACAUAUUUUUCAGCUACCCUUGUUGAUAAAAAUGACAACUAUUUCAUGCCAGUCCAUUACUAAACUAAUAAACUGACAAUUUUUCAGCUUGAUCCUAAUAUUGCCAACAAAGGUCGAAUCUUAAACAAACCUUGAUCCUAAAAUCCCUGAAGCAAUACUCACGUUGCUAAAAGAUCAAGCACCCAAUCUGAAUUCCUAUGAAGUCAUAGUAUCCCUGAAGCAAUGGGCUUGUUACAUAUUUUUCAGAAAAUCCUUACCGAUAGAAAUAACAGCAUUUUCAUGCAAGUCCAUUACAACUAAUAAACUCACAAUUACUCGGUUUAUCCUAAUACUGCCAACAAAUAUCAAAUCAUAAACUAACCUUGAUCCUAUAAGUUCUCGGCUUCAACUCCUUGUUAAUUUUGACAAGUUUUUGUUCCUCUCUUGUCAACCUAGUGGUAAUCUGAUUGGGAUGUAGCAAUCCCGGUGUGUCAAACAACUUAGCCUGAGCAGGAAAAACUCCUUCCACUCUCACGAUCCCAAGCGUUGUUCCAGGCACGGGUGCCUCUGUCAAAUGACUAACAAUAUUCUUCUCUUCUACAUCUCCUCCUCUACCAGCAUCCACACUCUUAGAAAUGGCAUUCAAUAAUGUACUUUUCCCCGCAUUUUGUGCUCCUAUGGCCCACACAUUCCCCCUCUUUCCCGCCAAAUCAACAACAUCAUCUAUAAGACUCUUUAAACCCCAGUUCUUAACAGCACUAACGAAAUGCAACUUCGUAAUCUUACUAAUGCCGUCUUCUCUAGCUCGUUGCCUAACCCAAUGUUCAAAUCUAGUAGGCGACAAAGAACUCGGCAACAAAUCAAUCUUAGUCACAACUAAUACAACUCUAGGAACAUUACCCGACUUACCUUCUUUCCAUGCCCUCUCAUUCUCCUCAGCUGUAUCUGAUACCAUUUUCGCCACUUUCCUAGGAAACGACCCAUCAAAAUCAGCUGCAUCAACCACCAUCAAAACAACCGAUCUAGCCCCACUGGCCGACAUCAACUUCCUCCCAACCGUAUGAUCAAAAUCAAAAUCCGGCAACAAAUUCUCCACAGUCACAUCCUUCACCUUCCCAUAAUGCCUUAAAGCAUGACACCUGGCACAAACCACCGGCUUUUCGUGUUUUUUAACUUCUGAUGUUUCAUUUUCAGCUUCAAAAACAACAAGCCCGCCCUUUUUGAGGGAAUUUGAAAAUUCAGACUCAUUGGCUACGUGUACAAGAUGGGAUUUUCUCACUUUGUUCAAAUUCUGCGAAGGUCUAAUGAAGUAACCGGGUUGUUUCGGGUUCGUGUCUUGCAUGUGGACGCCGCAGCCGGGGCAGACGGUGAGUUUGGGAGUGGCUUCAUCGUAAUUUCCAUCUCUUGUCAAGGCCAAAGAUGAAGAUAGUGGCGGUGGUGCUGUGUUAGUGGGUUGUGAAGAGAAGAAGGAGGAGGAGGAGGAGGAGGUGGUGGUGGUGGGUGCUUUUAGUGCUUUUGUGGGGUGUAAUUGGAGAUGGGGGCUUGUGAUUUUGGUUAAAAAUGAUUGAUGCAAGAUGGGUUUCAGUUUUGAUUGAGAGAUAUUUCUUGCUCUUGAGAGCAUUUCUUCUCUUUGUUUUGACUGAAAUUUCUUUUUCUUUUCAGGGUUUAGGGUUCUAGAGAGGCUUUGAAGAUGAACAGGCGUAAAUGGUUGAUGCACUGAAACGACGACGCUUAAUAGGCAGAGUUGCAAUUUGCAUUCAAAUCCUCACAAUACUGUGACAAAAUUUCAAAUGAACUAUCUCACACUUUUUGGUAGCCAAGUUACUUGCAAAUUGUCUAUAACUAUAUCAUCAUUUCACUUUACAUUUUCAGUAUUUUCUCUCUGAUUUUUUUAAAUUUUCUAUAUCAUUCUCAUUUUUUCUUUUUACUUUGAAAACAUAAUCGUUAUAUCCUCUUAAUUUUUAUUUAUUUUAACAGAUAUUGGUUUUGAAAUAUGGGAGGAACUUAAAAUUUUAUUUUUAAGUUGUGUGCAAGUUUUGUAUACAUUGACCACAAAGAUGAAAUUAAUGCUGAUUUUUUUUUAAUUAGAUUUUUCAAUGUUUUGGCAUUGACUCUGAAGAAUUACUUCAAUUAACUUUCCUAAAUCUUUUUUUUCCUUCUCCAGUUACAUUAAUUUGGUGUAUCUAUCACCUUGAUUAUAAUAAGAGUCUAUGCUUAUAAAUGUCUCUAAAGCUAAAUAAAAUUGGGAAAUUAUCAUUCGUAUACUCUAUAUUUACUCUGUUAUCAAAAAUACUACAACACUUUGACGGUGUAUCAAUCGUCUACCCUUAGUUGACAAAAUGUAUCAGCCGACCACCAAACCAUUAGUCCGUUAGUAUACCCUUAAAUUCUCUUUUUAUCACUUGUAUACCCUUAAAUUAUCACUUGUAUCAUAUGAAAAAAUCAAAUUACCCUUUUGAUGUCAUCAUACUUAAACGGCAACUAACGAUUUGAUGGUCAGUUGAUACAUUUUGUCAACUUAGGGUGGACGAUUGAUACACCCUCAAAGUGUUGUAAUAUUUUUUAUAAUAAAGUAAACUAAGAGUAUACAAAUGAUAAUUUCCCAAUAAAAUUUAAUGAAUCAAUCACCUAUUUGCAAUAAGAGUCUAUCUUACAAAUGUAUGAGAAGCUAUAAUAAAAAGCGUAAAAAUAUAGGCUCAGGCUUCACCUACAAGCCCUGAUCCAUCACGAAAGCCCAAUAAAUAACUAAAUAAUAUAUUUUAUUUUAAUUAAAAUACUCAUUUUAAUAUUUAUUUAACCUAUCCAUAACAUAUAAUUAAAAAUUUAAAUCUUUUUAGCUUAAUUUUAAAUCCUAAUCUAAUAAAAACUACAUUUAUAUAUUAUAAAUUUGUAAAAUUUAAUAAAAAGUUUCUAAAAUAUAUAACACAAAAAUUUGGACUUCUCGGCCCAACCGACCUGAAAAGAGACAUGCUUGGGCCAGGCCUGGCUAAUUUCAUUUUCCAAAACACUGGAGUGAAAAUUGCUCCAAACAAGACAAAAAUUCGACCUUUUUCCAAAAAUCAAGCGCUGAAUUCUCAACCAUGUUAAUAAAAAUAAUGUGGAAAAGACUAAAAAAUUUAUCAGAACAUGAAACUUAUUGCAGAAGUUAGAUUUACCUGUAAGCAAAUAGAUAAAAGAAGAAAAAAAGUGAUUGCAAGCAAUCUAUAUCUACACAUUUACACAGAAGUAUUUCGACUACCACAUACGGAUGAUGCAGAUUCGAAGUAAAAUAUCUUUGACGGGGUUUCUAGUUAUAUGUAUCUCACUAUUCUUUCCAUAUUCGGCCGGCUACUUUGAGCUUCAACUCCUGCCUAUCUCCACCAGAAAAGAAAAGAGCUAAAUUCCUUUGAAUGAUUAAUCCAUCUUGGCUAUCUCUAACUUUUUUAUGGCUAUCGCGGAUGCUUCUAGGUAUUCCUUGCCACGUAAGCUUUCUACCAUUUCCGCCAACUUCCAGACUGUAACUGAAUUGUCUGGCCUCUUCUUCAUCACCCAUGAAUCGGAGGAAGGCCAUGUAAACGGGUGCCAUUCCGAGGUGAAAAGCCUCAAAAUGCAGGCAAAAGUGCCGGCCAAAGCAAUUGAAAACCUGCACCAAAUAACGAACAUUUAAGAUGGUUAGGUUGGGGCUGGCGGAAAAAUAGGAUGCAAUUCGAGGAAACAGUACCCUGUCACACAACUAUCUGCACUUCGGAAUGCAUAAGCAUUCUUGAAAUAAAUGAGUGUGUUAGUAUUUUGAUUCCAUAUCAGGGAAUUUUUUAGCUUAGAACCAUCAUCCAAAACUCAAUAUUCGUAAGCAAGCAUUUAACGUUUUAGUUCACCAUUUAGCAACAAGCAAAGCAUGCCUUUAUCUUUGCCCAUAAACCCAUAAACGUUAAUAGUUAGUCUUAUUGGCGAAAAAGAUCUAACUAAUCCGAAGCUUGCAUUCAUAUGGACCUAAAAAGUUCAGUUCCUUAAAGGGCAAAAUGGAAAUGGAAUUUCUGGAAGAAGUAUCUUCUAAUACAACUAAGCUGGCAUCUGCAAAGUGAUGCCAGUCACGAUUUACAAUUGAGAGAGGUGAGAAUCAGAGGAGAAGAAGAGAUGAGAGGUCUUACUGUUAACAUCCAUGUAGCAUUUUCAAUUUCUAGUGCAUUGGCUUUGACAUAUCUGUGGUUGAAAGUACUCCCAUCGUGCAUGUCAACUUUGUGAUCAUUUUUUAGAUGCCUAACAAGAAGUGGGAUAUCACCAGUGACAGAACAUUCAGCGCCGGCAUAGGGGCAAUUGUAUGGACGAUAUUUGCAGUUUUUUUCAUGCUUUAGCUUGCUGUAAUAUGGGAAUAUAUCUUGACAACCCCAAAUCUGGUAUCUGCAAGGGAGUUCCAGCGACUCAGCUACUUUCUCCAAUGCCAGGCACCUUAUAUUUCCAAGUUCAUGGCGGCAAGUUGGACAACCAGUGCGUACUCUAGCCUUGCAACUUGAGCACAAGGUGUGACCAUUUGGACACUGUUCAUAGAAAAUUAGAGAAUUUAUCAAUACAAGAAGAUCAAUUUAAAUAGUAUUGUGUUACAAUUAUGAUGAAUGUUCUUAAUUCGUUAACUUUGGAAAUUGGGCAAGAUUGGGAAAUGGAACCAAUUCGUUCACUAUAACACACAAUAACAGUAAAAGGAGUAUCAUCUUUUCAGGAAAUGCAUCUAUAUCUACAAGGCUAAAUGAUGAAUCAUAUUAUAAGAUGAACAAACAUUUCCAUAAAAUGACUAAUGCACUCAAGAAUCUCUACAGUCUGAUUCACUAACUUCUGACAAUUAACUGAAAUCAAUUUCUUGAAUAAUUAACAUAUUUGAAUUGUUUCACUUCAUAUGGCAUUGCUUCCUAUGUCAAUUUAAUGCUAAAAUCCCUCAAGUCCCAAUUUAAGAAGCUUUAUUUAUUUAUCUAUUUUGACAAAGAAAAAAGGAAGUAAAAGAUGCUUAAACACAAGGAAAACUUCUACUGUUCUUCUCGUUUUGUGUUUUGAUACACAGAAAGAAAAUACCUGGUAAAUUGGAGGGUACAUUAAAUUCAAGCAAACGGGACACUCAAGUAGCUCGUGCACAUCAUUAUUUGAUGUUGUUCCAAGAUUUCCACUGAAACCAGUUGUAGCUUUCCUACAAGGGGAACCCCUCAACUCCACACUAGAAGUUGCCAUUUCAUAAUCUGAAAACUCAAUGCUAGACUCAAUCACCUCCUUGCAUAUUCCUCCUCCAGGAGCCAUGCUGCCUUCCCUUAGAAACUGCUACUACUAUAUGUCUCUUCGUUCCCAAAUCAAAAUCAGCAUCAUAAUCUUCACUGCAAAUGAUACCACUUUCUUUCUUUUUAGCUGGUUUUGCCUGAGAAAAGUUGGAAAAGGACAUUAUCAAAUGACGGAGAUACUAUGAAUGGUGACAAUUUUUCAUGGUCCAGAAAUUUGUCAAACUUGCGUAUGGUCCUCUAUACAAGUAUAGUCACAAUCCAUUGGGCCUCCAUGAUUUAUUGCAUAACCGUAAGAUAUAUUAUACAAUCAACUUGAUCAGAAGACAAGCAAUUGAAUUUGACAAGAAGUGUGGAUAGUAAGUACUACGGCAAAUAUUUGAAUCAAAAUUCAUCUCAUGCAAAAUCUCUAUUCAAUGAACACCAAUUGAUAUGAAACAAAAAUAGUAUCAAACAUCAGACGAAGCAAUAAAGCUUUGACUUAUUUAUACUCUCACAAGCAUCAGUGAAGUGUAGAUGCAGCCAAGUCAAUAAACAAACAAAACACAAAAAAAAAAAAAAAAAUUACCGAGAUGAAGGUUAGAGCCAGUAUUCAUAUUAAGAGCAAAAAAUAGCCAAAAAAGAACAAAAUUCGGCAAAAGAUUCAAUACCCAGAUGAGAAAUCAAGAAAAGAAUCAAAGAAAAAGUGGAACAAAGCUUUAAACCCACCUUAAGAAACAAACCCAGAUGAGAAAUGCAGCUAAGAAACGAUUGAAGAUUCAAUCAUUUCAAUUAAUGAAAACUUUGGGACUCAAUUAUUUCUCCAUUUAGGACCCAAGAAUGAAAAAACAAAAAACAAAGACAACAACAAAAAAGAAAGCUACUAACGUGGAGAAAUUUCCUGAAAAGCUGGCUCCGCAAAUUGCGUGUCCAAGAUUGAUUGGUAGAUGACACAAUAACAAAACUACAUCACAUAACAUGAGCAGGAGUCAAAGAUUUUGGAUAUAAAAAUUUUAAUUUUAAUUUAAUUUGUAUCACAAAUAGUGACAAGUGCUAUGUGUUAUGUUCUUGUACCAGCUUGGAUGUUUGAGGACCAGUUUUAAGAUUCUUUUAUUCAAUUGUGGGGUUAUGUUUGGUUUGGUAUUUUAAUGGUGACUCAGUCAUCUUCUGAUUUGAUUUAUUUAUUGUCAAUUAUGCUUUGGGAUUUACAAUGUGUGAAGGUGACAUUUCCAGCACGCAACGUUUUGAAGCGAUUCGAUUUGAUUUGGUUUGAUUUGGUUUGAUUUCUGGGCUUUGCUGCUAAUGGCCAAUGUGACCGUUAAAAGUGUUUGAAAUUAGAAAAACGAGUCGCUGUCAUUAGAUGUGGUUGGUGUUCAUUGGGAGUUUAAAGAGGAAUGAAAUCAAACCAAAGUUUUGGAUUAGCUUUUGGUCCAUUUUGAAUUGUGGUCAAGUGAAAAAAAAUAAAAAUUAAUAAUAUGUAUUAAAUAUAAAUUUUAAAUAAUAAUUUUUUUAUUAUACAAAUAAAAAAUCAUAUCAAUAUAAUUUAUAAGCUAAAGUACAUAAUAUUUACCAAACACUUUAGUGCUGUAACUUUUAAAAUACAGCCGUCGAACCUCAAUUUUAAACACAAUAUUUGUCAUUCCAUAUGUGUUUUGAGAUUAAAGGGUUGUAACUUUUGGUUCAUAUAUACUUUAAAUGAAACCAUUAUUCAUAGAGUAAUUAAGGAUAAGCACAAAAUUGAAUAUAAUUAAAGCGUGGUGAUGUCCAUGUCAAUUUGAGGAGGUGCCGAACUUCGCUUCGUUGAUGGAUCAAAUCAAAGAAAGUUUUAGCCCAAUUCUUGUUGUGUUUGACUAUGAUUGAAGUGUUGUAAAUUUUUUUUUUUAAUUCUCAUAUGUUUUAAAAUGAAAUUGCUAACUGUAGAAUAUAAAAAGAAAAAUACAAAAUUCAAUAUUAUCAAAUGUCUUUGCUAUACACUUUGCUUGUUGCACUUUUAAAAUUAAGUUGAAAUUCAACGGUCAUAAACCAAUUCUUAGUGAUAGAAAUAUGAUUAUUAAGAUGUUUUACAAGAACAAAUGGUGAAAAAUCUUUUCUUCAUGUUUCAUGUUAAAACACAAAAGUAGUUUUUAGCAUUUUACACACUCUUUUUACUUCUCUCUUUUUUUCUUUUUUCCCCCUCUCUACAAUUAUAUUUUUUUUUCAGUUUUUAAAUUAUAUAUUUAAUUACAUCUCAGAAGUCAAAACACCAAAAUCAAAACACUAUUUUUAUUUCAUAAAAUUGAAAUGAUAAGUUAAGGUCUGGGCCUUGAUGUUGGGCCGGGUUGUAGAGUGUGCGCCUCCGGGCCUGAAGUAUCUUCGUGCGAGGUUUCUUUUUUUUUUUUUGGGGUGCUUUCACUGAACCGGACCGAUUGGUGGCUGUGGUUGGUUCACUUCUGUUAUAAGUUUAAAGAACCGAUUGAUUUGGUUUGGAUUUUCAAUCCAAUAUAAAAUCGAGCUGAAAAUAAAAAUACGUACAUUAAGAUCGAUAUUUAAAAAAAAAAAGUCGAGAAUUGAAAUAGAUGGCUUAAUUUUCUAAAUUGAAUAAAUUGGAUUCAAAAUUUUACGAAUCAUUAUUGUUUUAUUCAGUUUAAUUUUUUUAAAAAAUUAAAACUUAUUUGUCACAGUUUUAAUUGAGUUAAUUCUAAUCAUAAUAAGCCAUAUUCAUAAUGCUAAGAGAAUUUUAGAUGAAAUAAUAUUAAAUGAAACUAUUUAAUAAAAUUAUAUCACAUGUUUUGAAAUUUUUCUCAUUAUUAUUAAUUAUUAUCACUGUCACGAAUCAUGAUUGAUUAAUUUCAUAACGAAUAUGUAUACGAUAUUAUCUUUAUUGGAUGUAAUUUAUUUUUUACAAGUAUGACCUCGAAAUUGGCUAUUGGCAAUCCAUUAAAGGCUAGUGUAUAAAGCAGUAUUGCUUGAAGAUCGAUAUUACUUCUUCAAUUUGUUGAGUUUAAAGCUUAAACGCCAUGCUAAAGCAUGACGAACUGAAGAAGGCGGCAAGAAGCAAUCCAUUACAUUGUCAUGGCCAGCUCAGCCUCCCCCAAGCUUUAUAUCUUGAAUUAUGUGUCGCAAUAUUUUACACCUCCCAAUAGGAUCGAGACACGUUAUUUUCACGUGACUAAUACGUAGUCAUGCAUGGAUAAGGCCAAUAGGAGCAUCGUUGUGAUAAAUUUUGGCAACUUUGUUGACUGCUAAUUAAUGACAAGUCAAAAUUUUGAACUGAUUGGGGUUAUGAUUUAACUAAUGACAUAAUUUAAGAACCUUCAUAUAACCCUUUGAUUUUUUUUUUUUCAAAAAAAGGAAGAAAUAUAUCUUCUGCUUAUAAAUUUGAAAAUCGAUAAAAUAAUGUUCAAUUAAUUUUUUUUUGGUUAAAUUAACAUGACCUAAAACAACUAUUAAUCAAUCAUAUUUUUUGUUACUGAAUAAUCCAGAACAUUUAUUCAUUUGCUGGCUGCUUUUGAAUGGUUUAUCACCUAACUAUUUCUAUAAUCCAUUCAUCAUCCCCAUUUGACAAUUAAUUUAUUCUAGAAUUUUAAAAACAAUAAGCCAUGGGAAUCUCAAGUGUAACUUCCCAAUUUGUUGUUUCUUCCAAGAAACCAUCAUCAAAGACCUCAUUUCUCUUGUCCUAUUUGGUCAACAAGUUAUGCAUGAAUAAUAAAUUAAUUAUUAAAUAGUUUGUUCUAAAAGCUGCUUUUCUCAAUCUAGCUUGUGCAUGAAGUCAAAAAACAACUUCUUCAAGUCUUAUCCUACAAGUCAAAUUCAUAAGAAGCUGCUUCUUGAACAACAAGCUCUCUCUCUUUCUCUAUAUAUAUAUAUUAAGCCCAUCUCCCAAGCCUUAGCUUAUCAUACACAUCGCACAGAUAAUUUAUUUUCCCUCCGGUUACAUACAACUUUCCUAAACAUUUUCUCAAGAAAACUAAUGGAGCCAGAAAUGUCACUAGCCGAUGCCUUGAUUAAGGUUGCAAUGUUUGUGCUUGUUCAAGUGCUGGUUUACUUAAUUCUUUCGAAUUCUUCGGAUAUUUUUUCGGAGAAUAAGAAGAAGAAGAUGAUGAAAUCUUCCAGCUUCAAAACGGCACGUUCUGUUAGCAUUCGCCGUAUGCUUGCUGCCAUCUCCGAUUUGCCGUCUGAGGCGGAGGUCUCAUCACCGUCUCUAAGAGGUUCAAGAUUAUCAGACGAAUUUCCAAUUUCUGAUGAUAAAGAAUCUUAAAUUAUUCGCUUCUAUAAAUAUAGCUAGUUCCUUAAUUAAUUCUUUUGUUCUUUGAAUCUUUGUACCGAUAUCAUUACUGUAUUUAUUCAAUGAAGAUUUUUAUUGUGUACUUCCCUUGUAUAAGUAUUUACAAUUGAAUUAUAUUAAUUUCAUUUUUGGGGCCUUUUAGGCUUCAAGCUUCUUUGAUCACCCAGGGAUGCUCAUAUGCAACAUCUAAAGCAUCCUUUAUUGCAUUGUAUCUGCAUACAGAAGAAUCAGUGAAAAUAUCAGUUGGCUUUCGGUUACAAUUCUCAAAGUUUAAUAGAAAACUUUGACAAGUGUAAUAGAAAUGGUGAUUGUUAUUAUUAGGCCCUUUUGGGUUUUGUUUGUAAUGCACAGGCAACACUAGUUACCUUUUACAGAGAAGGCCUUGAAGCAAAUCAUUUUAGCUUUGGAUUAAUAGAUUAAAUGCAGGAUAUUCACCUUGCCAUAAUUUUCUGGCAUGCUAUCAGUAAGAAAAGGAAAACACGUGAUAAAAUUAUGUGACUCGUUAAAAAUAAUGAUGUAAUUAUGGAUCAAUUAGAAAACAACACGUGAUUUCCAAGUUACAAAAAUUUACUAGAAACUUAUUCUUGAUUACCAGUGAUAUUAUUUCAAAUAUUUAGAUUCAGUACUGAUGUGAGCUUCAUGGGUGAUCAUCUUAUUAUAAAGUUGUGAUCGGAUAAAAAUAUAAAUAUAAAUAAAUCUUAACAGCAAUUUUUGUGAUCUCCUUGCCUGUAGUUGCCUAAUUAUGUCUUCGUCAGGCAGCAGCAAUCCGGAUGCUGACAUAGUUCCUAAGAAUCCCAAUGCGGGAUAGUGUUAAUAAUCCUGACACUUGGAUUAAAUCCCAUGGCUGGUCAGCACAUGGACCAAAGUGAUAAUGGUUGAGUUCAAAGUUCAAACCCCCUCAUCCAUUUAAUUUGUUUUUGUAUUAAUUUAAAAUAUGUGAUUUUCAAGUUACAAAAAUUAUGUUUUCACUGUUAUAUUUAACGAAAAAAAAAGAGUAGGCUCUUCAUAUUUUUUUAAAAAAAAAAGGAACGAAAAAGUUGGCUAUUCAUAUUUUAAUGGGUCUAGCUACCGUGCAAUUGUUGCACGAUAUCCCCUAUUUUGUCUUCUUGUGUUUUCACUGUUAUAUUUAACGUCAGAGUAAAUUCAACGGCGGGAAUGGGAUGGGAUGCUAUAGUUUAGUAAUUAACGCUACAUUCCCUGUUGUAUACUGAAAUUCUAAAAAAAAUUAAAUAUUUUAAAAUUAUGACACAUAAAUCCAGAUUGUAUUAAAUUUUUAAAUAAUUUUAACAAUUAAAAAUAUAGGCAGGUUGUCUCGAGUUAAAAAAUUUGACAUAAAAAUAAAAAUCUAACUCUUUUUUUUUUAAUUUAAGGAGUGAGAUAAGUAAUGAUUUCACAUUAAAAUUCAAUUAAUAAAUUAGCUUAAAAAGGAAAACUAACAUGGCAUUAGGAAAAUAAAAAUAUUAAAUAAAUAGUUAUAAAAACUUUAUAUUUUAUCUUCUUUCCUUACACUUUAGUUGCCACUUUUAGAUAUAUGCCUAUUAUACUUUAAAUAAAAAUAACUACAAUACAAUUUCAUUUUAAAGUCAUUAGUUAUUCACAAAUAACAAAACUUAAACUUUAUCUAUAGAUUUAAACCAAUAUGACAUCAAUGACUUUAUAGCUGAUAGAUUUGAUUUGUUAUUUUAAUUUAUUCAAUUGCCAUGUCCUCACAAUUGUCAUCCAAAUAUUCAAAUCAAAUUGCUGCAUUUUGCCUUAGUUGUGAUGUGAAAAAUAAUUGAGAUAAUUGAUUAGUUAAUGAUAUUUUAAUUUGAAAGGAGUUACUGACUAAUGAUUGAUUAAUUAUCUAAGUGGGGAAAAAGGGAAUGGAAUAUCUAAAUAUAAAGAAGAGGAAAAGAGAAAAAAAAUAAAGUUAUGAUAAAUUUAUAAAUAAACUAUGAAUAAAAAAGAAAGUAGGGAAUCAAAGAUAAAAACAAAACUGCAGUACCGUAUAACAGUUGCACCACAGUUUUGUCCCAUAAUUUAAGGCAAUAAAUUUAAAUGUUGGGAAUCUUUCCAAACCAAAUUCACAAUUGUUACAUUUAUUCUACAAAAUACCACCAAAUUUCAUUUUCAUGUUACACAUGCAUUUAGCUCGAAUAUAGGGGGUUUCAUGAGAGGUGCCACUUCAUAAUUCUUCUCUUGAUUUGAUCUGAUCAAUUUGCCAUACAAACGGGGAUGUAGCUCAGAUGGUAGAGCGCUCGCUUAGCAUGCGAGAGGUACGGGGAUCGAUACCCCGCAUCUCCAAAUUUAUUUAAUAUUUUAAAACUUUCAAUGUUUUAUUUUACUGCCCGUGCCACAUCAUGGUCAGUCCCCACGGCCGUUGCAGCCGGAGGUGUCCGGCCGCCACAUGACUGGUGGCAUCAUCUACUCGCCGUUGAAGUCAACAUCAGAAAUUUUUUAUUUUUUAUUUUAAAAUUAAAAAUCACAGCCGACACAUACAGGUGGUAUUAUGGCCUCUCUUGUUGGAUAAGGGAAAAAAAAAGGACGCGCAGUUCUAUGCCACCAACUCUUUCCUCUUUGGAGCUAAUAAUAUCCAAGUCAUUCAGUUUUUAAAUAAUUUCGAAUAAAGGAAGAGAGUUUGUUCAUUUAUAUCAUAUAGGUCCAGAACCCCACUCUCUCCUUCACGAGAAUCGCAUAACUAAAAAUUAGAUCACUCCAUCCAUGUGAUUGGAAUUAAAUCCUAUAUUCAUUAUAUCAUCAUCUCAAAUAAUUUGAUCAACUAAAUUAGUGGAUACUUAUAUACAUAUUAAAAUACAACUCGUAAUAAAACAAUCAAAUAAUUUUAAUAUCGCAAUUUUUCACUAAUAUAAUGUAAUGCUAAAAAUUAAGAGUAUAUAACUUAAAAUUUAUUCGAUAGUUUUGAAAUUAGAGCUUUUAUAAGUAGCGUUUUAGUAAUAAAAAUCUAUGUCAAUUUUUAAUUUUUAAAAAGAAAUUUAUAAAUAACUUAAUAGAAAAGUGAAGUAAAAUGUUAGAGUAACGAAAAUGUACUUUAGAGAAAUCAUAAUAAACGAGCACUUGAUAACAAAGGGUACUCCAUUGUGGAUCGAAAUUAGGGUUUUAUUUGAUACAAAUAGAAUAACUACGUAAUGUGAGAAACCAUAAAAGAUACGGACCUAAGUGCUAUUACCCCUUUCCUAGCCGCCAGACUUCAAUUCAGAUGCAAAAUUAUGCUAAUCAAGGCUUCAACGUAGUACACACAUUCUUCAGACUCAACCAAAACUAAAAUUGAUUUAUAAAAAAAAAAAAUAUUAAUGGCUUCAUCAAAAACAGUGAGAAAAUUACAGGUGGUAUCACCAGUACCAGCAGAUAUAGACAUUGCAAACUCAGUGGAGCCACUUCAUAUUUCUGAGAUUGCCCAAGAACUCAACCUGAAGCCAAACCAUUAUGAUCUCUAUGGCAAAUACAAAGCCAAGGUGAUUGCUUUUUAGCUUUUUAUUCAUAAUUUUUUUUUUCUUAUUGAGUAACUUAUAUCAGUUGGUCGAUUCAGCUUAAUGGUUAAAGACAUGAUUUUUAUGUUUUGAUUGGUUUGUUGUGAUGAGGGUGUGAUUCAAAAACUGCCAUGUUCAUUUUUAUUUUCAUUUUUUUUAAACUUAAGGUGCUUAGUUUUGUUAACAUAACAAGUUUGGGUGCGUAAAGUUGAAUGCAUGUUGUGGAUGUUUGUAGGUGUUGCUAUCUGUUCUCGACGAGCUUGAAGGAUCUGCAGAUGGGUAUUAUGUCGUGGUUGGAGGGAUUACUCCAACUCCUCUUGGAGAGGGCAAGUCUACUACAACUGUUGGGCUGUGUCAAGCAUUGGGUGCUUUUCUUGAUAAAAAGGUAGAGCUUUCAAUAGUUACAAUUUUAAAGCAUUGAAGUUGUUUCUCUAUUUGCCAAUCCAUUUAGUCUAGUGUAAUAUUGAAGUUCCAGUUCUCACACUUAGCUGUACUCCUAUAUCUGUUCCAAACAAUGUAUUUUGCAGUUGGAAAGGUUUUGUUAUAUAACUGUUAUUCUGUGUUAAAUAAAAACUAAAUCUGUAUGCUCAAGGAGCAUCUACGUAUUCAUUCCAUAAGAAACUGUUUUCUCUAAUGAUGUUUGAAGAUUCCUAAUCUCUUCCAUUGUAUUCUAAUCACAGCGUCCCUCUACUAGAUGUUUUUCAUUUCUAGUUUAACAAGUACUUGGUAAUGCUGUAAGACGUGUAAAUUUCUUCUGCAGAAAGGUGAAAAAUUGGAAAAAUUGUGAUUUCAAUUGGCCUGGAAAAUCUGUGUGUUAUGUCUGAUGACGACCAAUAUCAGAGUAGUUAAGAAAGUUGUGUUGAGAAAAACAAGUUUUUGAUUUGGAAAACUCAAAAAGUAAAAGAUGAAACUCUUUCUGAAGCUAGCUCUCUUUAUCUCUCUCUUGCCCAAAGCACCUUGCAUUCCUGAUGAUCUGCUGGCAACUUUUUUUAAUGAACAAAUUUUUGUGGGUUGUUCACUAUUUCACUCAAAUGGUGAGAUCACUUCGUAUGUAUGUGUUCUGCCAAUUCAAUCUGUGUUAUCAGCUGUCCCUUUUAUGAGGGGAAUUGAACGGACAAAUUCACGUGCUUCAAUGAGCAUGUUCAUGGGUCCUUUUAUUGUUGUAACAGCACGACUGUUGGCGUUCAUUAUGCCCUGCUGUUGAUAGUAGAGUAAACUACCUGAACAAAUUAUGUUCUUCUUUCCUAGGUACAAAUCUGAAUAACCAUUUUGUAAAUUUCAGACACAACAUACUUGAUCAUCUGUCUGGAUUUCAUGCAAAAUAAACCAGAUUUGGUGGAAGAAACUGUUCACUUUUAUUACUAUAAGACUUUCCAUAAAAAGACACAAGACCCUAAUUGUUAGACUAGAUAGUGCUCAACUGGUUUAGCACGCGAUUCAGCUUUAAAGGAGUAACAUGAAUGAGCUGCUUGUCAAGUUCCUUAAAAUAGGGUAUUAAUGAUUAUUAAUCUUCAACAGUUAAGACAGAGACUGCCUGUUAGUAAUGACCGUAGCUUUUUUGUCCAUCUAAAUCUAAUUAAUUCAAACAAGUAUAUUUACUUUGAACUUGCUUUUUCUAUCUCAAAAAUUAUCUUUGUCUGUUUUGUCUGAAAACUAGCUUUUCAGCUCAAAAAUAAAAGGAAAAAAGGGAAUAAGUUACUAUCAUGGUUCUGGGUAAUUUUAAUAGCAGAUGAAGCUGUUUUUGUGGUUGUUUCCUCCUUCAACAUAGAAGAUUGGAAUAUUUACAGUGAUUAUCACAGCGCAGAAAUUGGAAUGUGACUAGUUGCUUUGAAUUACUUUGACUGAGUAUUUGUUUAGGUGUUAUCCUUACCAUCUUUAUUUGUCAGGUUGUUACAUGUCUUCGUCAACCCUCACAAGGACCAACCUUUGGAAUCAAAGGAGGUGCAGCCGGUGGCGGUUACAGUCAAGUGAUCCCAAUGGAUGAGUUCAAUCUUCAUUUAACAGGAGAUAUUCAUGCAAUUACAGCUGCAAACAAUCUUCUUGCUGCUGCCAUUGACACCAGGAUAUUCCAUGAGGCGAGCCAAUCCGAUAAGGCUUUAUUUAACAGGUUAUGCCCACCGAACAAAGAAGGAGAACGGAGCUUUAGUAACAUCAUGUUUAGGCGUCUGAAGAAACUUGGUAUCUCCAAAACCAAGCCCGAGGAUCUUACGCCAGAAGAAAUUAACAGAUUUGCUAGGCUUGAUAUCGACCCAGCUUCUAUUACAUGGAGGAGAGUUAUGGAUGUGAAUGACCGAUUCUUGAGGAAAAUUACUAUUGGUCAAGGCCCCGAAGAAAAGGGAAUGGUGAGAGAAACAGGCUUUGACAUUUCAGUUGCUAGUGAGAUAAUGGCAGUUUUGGCCCUGACAACUUCUCUAGCUGAUAUGAGAGAGAGGCUUGGGAAAAUGGUGAUUGGAAAUAGCAAGGCAGGUGAUCCUAUAACUGCCGAUGAUCUUGGUGUUGGAGGUGCUUUGACUGUGCUAAUGAAGGAUGCAAUCAACCCCACUUUGAUGCAGACACUGGAAGGAACCCCUGUUCUUGUUCAUGCUGGUCCUUUUGCAAAUAUUGCUCACGGUAAUUCUUCUAUUGUGGCUGAUAAGAUUGCACUGAAAUUGGUUGGACCAGGUGGAUUUGUCGUCACUGAAGCAGGUUUUGGUGCUGAUAUUGGAGCUGAGAAGUUCAUGAAUAUUAAAUGCCGAUAUAGUGGUUUAACUCCUCAGUGUGCUGUUAUUGUGGCAACAAUAAGGGCCUUGAAAAUGCAUGGUGGUGGGCCACAAGUUGUUGCUGGGAAGCCUCUUGACCAUGCCUACUUGAAUGAGAACGUGGCUCUGGUUGAAGCUGGCUGUGUGAAUCUGGCCAGGCAUAUUGCAAACACAAAGGCAUAUGGUGCGAAUGUUGUAGUUGCUGUGAACAUGUUCGCAACUGAUAGCGAAGCAGAACUGAAUGCAGUUAGAAAUGCAGCUAUGGCUGCUGGGGCCUUUGAUGCAGUUGUUUGUUCUCACCAUGCCCAUGGUGGAAAAGGAGCAGUAAGUGACUUAUCACCAUUAGACCUAACAAACAAAAAGGAAAUAUUUCUCAAUUUUCACCUCUGCAAACUACAUAACUGUAAAUAAAUUAUCAUUAAUCUGCAUUGCCCAUAUUUGGUCUCUACACAGAAUUUCUCUGAGGCAAUUGGAGCAGGAUGAGUUGUUUAACAACAUUUACACACCGCCUUUCUGAUUCUGGAAAUUAUUGACACAUCCCACCUAUGUCUGAGAAUUUCUCAUGUUCUGCAGUCUACCUUUGCUUCGACCACUAAGGACUUGUAUUGUGAUUUUUUGUCAGCAAACUAGGAAUAGAUAUUUUCAAUCCAAGUGUAAUCACAUAUUUUGAACCUGAAAGACUUGUGCCUUUUCUGUCUAUAGUAUGACUCCGAGAUAGGCUCCUUUCGGGGUGUACAUAUUAUAUGAUAAGACUAAACUGGGAGAAUUGGUUAUUGAUGUCUUUUGAUUAAAAGCUCUAUUGUUAUCAUGGCUUUCAGGUUGACCUUGGAAUUGCAGUUCAAAGAGCCUGUGAGAAUGUCACACAGCCACUGAAGUUCUUAUAUCCUUUAGAUGUCAGUAUUAAAGAGAAAAUAGAUGCAAUAGCAAGGUCAUAUGGUGCUAGCGGCGUUGAGUACUCUGAUGAGGUAAAUGCUUCACACUUUGUUCCAUCAAUUCUCCAUGGAUUGUCAAGUGCAUCAGUCUGACUAAUUCAAUCCUUUCAAAAUCUGACAAAAAGCACAAAGUUAAACCAAAUAUUAAAUGUUCCUUUGGGUUGGUGAAAGCAAAAUCUAGUUGUAAAAUGCGUGUUUUGUCUUUUACUGUGGCAUUUCAAAUCUAUUUUCUUGCCGACGCCUAAAAAUAAUAGAGGUAGCACUUACCAUCUUUUUGAGGAGACAAGGAACUCUUACAGAAAAAAGCGCAUGCAUAUAUAUGUAUGUAUUUUGAUGAGACCAUUAUGAUAACUUUUGGUCUCCUGCAGAAUUUUUGGGAUUUACUUUCCUAAACACUUGUCCGGUGCCCAUCUUAUUGAUUUUUGGAACUUGCUUAACUAUUCUAGGGCUUAGUUUACUAAUUUAAAUUAUUUCAAUCUGUGCAACUAGGCUGAGAAACAGAUCGAAAUGUACACCGGGCAAGGGUUUUCUGGCUUACCAAUUUGCAUGGCAAAAACCCAGUAUUCAUUUUCACACAAUGCCGCCGAGAAGGGAGCCCCAACUGGGUUUAUCUUACCGAUAAGGGAUGUAAGAGCUAGCAUUGGGGCUGGAUUCAUUUAUCCUUUGGUUGGAACAAUGAGUACAAUGCCAGGUCUCCCAACAAGGCCGUGCUUUUACGAGAUUGAUGUCGACACUGCAACUGGAAAGGUUGUUGGGCUGUCUUAAGAUCCCACAAAGCACUCCCGUGUGGUUCUCAAAGAUGCUCUCUUUAGCAGUUCUCGAAAGCAACAACUGAGCUGAGGGCUCCCUCCCACCCCAUUGCUGUUAUUCUAACCUCGAUUUGUACACUUCGUGCACCUGUGCUAUAUGCUGUGUUAAUAAGAACCGAACACAAAAGAACCGGGAGAAUAAAUCUGGUUUCAUCUUUCUGCUUUGAUUUACCUAUGAUGCCCAUAUCCCAACUGAUUUGAUACCCAUCCGAAAUUGCCUUUUGUUAGGUUGUUUUUGAAUUUUUAUUCCAUGAUCAGUGUGCCGGUUUUGUGUUACCAUAUCACAUAAGUUUGAGGUACAACUUUUUUUAUUCUUCGUACAACCAAUACUUAGAAAUGUUACAUAUUUGAGAUAUCAAAGUUUAAAUGCUACCGGGCGGGCCAUGCACCGGCGGUUUGCCAUCCUUGACAAGGAUUGACUUGCAAAUGUAACAUGGAGAGUUGAGUUCAAAGUUCAAGCCCCCUCAUCCAUUUAAUUCGUUUUGUAUUAAUCUAAAAUGCCCACAAAAAAAAAAGGGGACGAGAAAGUUGGCUAUUCAUAUUUUAGGGUCUAGCUAACGUGCAACUGUUGCACGGUAUCCCCUAUUUUGUCUUCUUGUGUUUUUCCUGUUACAUUUAAUGCAGAGUAGAUUCAAACUCAACGGUGGAAUGCUAUAGUUUGGUAAUUAACGCUACACUCCCUGUCGUAUACUGAAAUUCUAAACAAAAUAAAUGUUUCAAAAUUUUGACACAUAAAUUCAUAUUGUAUUAAAUUUGUAAAUAAUUUAAACAAUUAAAAAAUGGGUAGGCUGUCUUGAGUUAAAAAAUUUGACAUAAAAAUAAAAAUAAAUAUCAAUAUCUAACUCUCUUUUUUUCUAAUUUUAGGAGUGAGAUAAGUAAUGAUUUCACAUUAAAAUUCAAUUAAUAAAUUAGCUUAAAAAAUAAAACUAGCAUGACAUUACUAAAAUAAAAUAUUAAAUAAAUAAUUAUAAAAACUUUAUGUUUUAUCUUCUUUCCUUACACUUUAGUCACCACUUUAAAAUAUAUGCAUAUUACACUUUAAAUAAAAAUAACUACAAUACAAUUUCAUUUCAAAGUGAUUAGUUAUUCACAAACAACAAAACUUAAACUUUAGAUUUAAACCAAUAUGUCAUCAAUGACUUAUAGCUAAUAGAUUUGAUUUGUUAUUUUAAUUUAUUCAAUUGCCAUGGCCUCACAAUUGUCAUCCAAAUAUUCAAAUCAAAUUGCUGCAUUUUGCCUUAGUUGUGAUGUGAAAAAUAAUUGAGAUAAUUGAUUAGUUAAUGAUAUUUUAAUUUGAAAGGAGUUACUGACUAAUGAUUGAUUAAUUAUCUAAGUGGGGAAAAAGGGAAUGGAAUAUCUGAAUAUAAAGAAGAGGAAAAGAGAAAAAAAAAUAAAGUUAUGAUAAAUUUAUAAAUAAACUAUGAAUAAAAAAGAAAGUAGGGAAUCAAAGAUAAAAGUAAAACUGCGGUACCGUACAACAGUUGCACCACAGUUUUAUCCCGUAUUUUAAGGCAAUAAAUUUAAAUGUUGGGAAUCUUUCCAAACCAAAUUCACAAUUGUUACAUUUAUUCUACAAAAUACCACCAAAUUUCAUUUUCAUGCUACACAUGCAUUUAAGGCCAAAUAUAGGGGUUUGAUGAGAAUUGCCGCUUCAUAAUUCUUCCGUUGGUUUGAUCUGAUCAAUUUGCCAUACAAACGGGGAUGUAGCUCAGAUGGUAGAGCGCUCGCUUAGCAUGCGAGAGGUACGGGGAUCGAUACCCCGCAUCUCCAAAUUUGUCUAAUAUUUUAAAGAGUUACGCUAUUGGCAUCCCUUCAUAAUCCAUCUCUUUUGAAACCCCUCUUGUUUUGAAUUUACAAAUUUAUCCUUUAUAUUUUAAAUUAUAUUAAAAAUAAAAUUUAUCUAAUUUAAUCUACCUACGUUUUCUUUGCCUUUUUAUCUAUAAUAAACUCAUUAAAAUCUACAAAAUUUGAAAAAAUAUUGAAUUGUCAUGGAAUAAGAAUUUGAUCUAAAUAUAAACUAAGUUUUUGUAGAAAAGAUAAUUUUGUAAAGUUUGUUUACUUGGACCAAAUUUUUCUUUCAUAUAUGCAUUAUUCGUCCUUAUAUGUACACUCAAGUUAUUAACUGCUAAGAAAAUAAAGAGAAAUGGAAACAAAAAUUAAAAAUUCAUGAAUGCUAUAAUAAAGAAGAAAUUGCAAGUGGUUUGAAAUGGGAGAGAGGAGAGAGAGAGAGCGCCUAACAUAAUUUUUUUUUCAAGGUAAAUUAUCAUUGUACCACAUUUCUUUUGUCUUAUGUUCAUCUAACCACCACAAAAUUUUAACAUAUUAUUUGCACCACAUUUCUUUUUAAAUUUAUAUCAAUUAGCUACUUUUGAACUAAUACCGUUAAAUAACUUAAAUAAAAUGACAAUUUUACCCCUAAAUUUAAUAAAGAAAUAAAUCCCAAAAUUAGAAUUUUUAUUUUUUAACAAAAAUAUUUAAAUAAAAAAUUAUAAUUAUAAAAAAAUUACAAAAUUUUGGGAUUUAAUAGAAAUCCCCUAAAUUAUUAAAAUUUUAGGAUUUAUUUUUUAAUAAAUAAAUUCAGUUAUUUCAAUAAAAUUUUACAAAAUUAUAAUUUUUUAAUAAAUAAAUUCAGUUUAUUUUUUAUUAAAAUUGUGUAAAAUUAUAAAUUUUUAAUAAAAAUAAUUAUUAAAUUUUUUAAAAUCUAAAUUUUAUAAAAAUAACUGAGCACCUCUAUUUUGAAUUUAUUUUUUGUUAAAUUGAGGAGUAUUUUUAUAAUUAUAAUUUUUUAUUUUUCAAAACUUUUAUAAGAUAAAAUAGUCUUUUAAUUUAUUUAGAGAUAAAAUUGUCAUUUUGUUUACAUUAUUUAACGAUGUUAGUGCAAAAGUGACUAAUUGAUACAAAUUUAAAAAGAAAGGCAGUGAAAAGAAUAUGUUAGAAUUUUGUGGUGGUCAAAUGAAUAUAAGACAAAAGAAAGGUGAUGCAAUGAUAACUUCUCUUUUUUCAAACUACUAAUAUGAGGUUUAUUAAGAAAGUACAACAAAUGAAGGCUGUUUUAGAAAUUAAAAAAAAUAUACAGAAAUGAGGUUUGAAAAGAAUGUUAAAGGUGCGCCAAUAAUCCAACUUUAUUUUAAAACAUUUAGGGUGCCUUUAGUACCAUUUUCAAUUUGUUGUUUUUCGUUUUAUGAAAAGGAAAAUGCAGAAAACUUGUUUGGUGAGCUCAUUUUGGUAGAAAACUAUACAGUGAUUAAAAACAAAAAAAUUUCAUUUUCCAAUGUUUACAAAGAAAACAAGAGAACGCUAUUAUAGCGUUCUCUAUUUUAUUUCACUUUUACUCUCUGCCAACUGCCAAGGCCCCAUUAUCUUAACUUUUAUAACAUAUUACGUGGGCCCAUUUAAUAAAGAAAUAAUCUAAUAAAUAAACUAUUAUAACAAAUAUUUAAAUAUAAUAGCAAGAGUUUAUUCCAUACUUUGCAGCUUAAUUACUUAAUAUAUUACCCAAAUUGUUUUAAAUAAAAAGUAAUAUCAUAUAAUUAUUAUACUAAAUUAUCACAUUGUUCGACCAAUAUUCAGUUAUUUAAAAAUUAUUAAAGACUUUCAUAUAUUAAUGAAAAUAUAUCAAUAAUAAAGUUACAUCUUGACAGCUAAUAUAAAUAAAUAUAUGAUAAUUAUGAAAUAAUUUAAGAUUUUCUCAAUUAAUAUUAUCUUAUAACUACAAUUUAUUUACAUAAUUAAAUUUUUUAAAGAAAUUAUUAAAAUAUCUUCGUACCUAUAUGCAUUUAUAAUAAUAUAUAAUACAUCAUAAUAUAAUAGCUAAAUAGAUAAAUUAUUUAAUGAUAUAAAAUAUAUAUUUAUAUUCAUUGUAUUAUAGUAUUUUUUCAUAAUAGUUUCAUUAAAUAAUUCUCUACUCUCUCUCUCUCUUUUUGUCUUCAUUUUUUCAGACAAGCAACUAAACACCUUUUCACCUUUUUUAUUUUAUUUUCAAGUACUGUUAUUAAAAUAAGCUACCAAACAUGUUUUUAUUUUUAACAAAAAAUAAUCAUUCUUAUUUCAUAAAACAAAUUCAAAAACACCAUUUAAAUUUUGAAAAUGCACCCUUAAGUGUUUUAUUUUAGGGUUAUUUUUAGAAACCUCCCCUGAGGUUUGAUAUAAUUUGAGUUAAAUGGCGAGAUUGAUUCUAUUCUCACUUACCUCCCCUACUGUUAGUAUACGUACGACUUGACAGUUAGUUGACUUGAGAAAUAACUGAAAUAUCCAAACCAAUUAUUCAACCCAAAAUUUUGGUGCCAACAAAGUAAGAGUACGACAAAAAUAGCUUGCCAAACAUAUACCUUCUCUUCUCUCCAAAUUCAACCUAGGUCUUGAGUUUUCCAACUACAAGAGACGGCGGUUGGUCGGGCGUUUGACAACAAGUUGAUCUCUGGCAGCACGUGGCUCUACUUCCACCAUUUUGGCCGCAAUAUAUCACGUUAGUUUUCGGUAAUUUUGGCAAGCCUUAUAUUGUAAAUUUUUUUGUUUUUCGUUUGCCUAAAUUGAUUGAUGACAAAUGAGUGUAUAAAUUAUUAUAGAUGAUCAUUAGGAUUGAUUAGUGCGUAAAUAUUAAAAAUGGUUUAAUGAAAUCGGUAGUUACUAAAUGGUACAUGAGGUGAUCGACAAAAUGCCUCUUAGGGUUUGUUUGUCUUGUUUUAGGUAGAUUAAGGUGUUGAUGGUGCAUUCAUGCGAAGUCUUGUUUUGUAAGCUCAUUAUUUAGCACGAAAAUUUUGCAACAACUAGUUUAAUAGGGUAUUUUGUAUUUCUGCAGAAUCGCGCGCGCGAUAGGGCCUAUCGCGAUAGGUAGAGCUGGCAAAACGGGUCAUCGGGUCGUGUUUGUGUCGUGUCAGCUUCGUGUCGUGUCAAAUUUAGGUCGACCCAAACCCGACCCAUUUAAUAAUCGUGUCAAAAUAUUGAGACCCAAACCCGACACGGAAAAAUAAUCGGGUUACCCAAUAACCCGUUUAAUAUCUAUAUAUUGAAUAAAAAUUACAUCAAAUAUUUACACACUAUCAUACAUACAUAUGUACAUAAAUACAUACAUACAUACAUACAUACAUUUAUCGAUAUUAUAAAAUAUACAUAUCUACCAAUAUAUUACAUAUUUACACUAUUGAGGUUUUAAUUUUAUAUAUAUAUAUAUAUAUAUAUAUUAUUUAUCAAUAUUAUAAAAUAUACAUGUCUAUUAAUUUUUACACAUUUACACUAUUGAACCUCUAAAUGUAUGUAAAAUUUUAUAAAUAAAAUACUGUGUUUAUAUUCACCCUUUUAAAGAAUAAAAAAAAAAUCAUCUCUAAUAUUUGAGUUUUAAUUAUAAGAAUAUGUAAAUUAUUUUAAAAUAGAAAAUAUAAUCGGGUCAUUGAUCGGGUAAAUGGGUCAAGAAUUUUAACCCAAACCCGACACGGAAAAAAAUCGUGUUGACCCGGACCCGACCCAUUUAAUAAUCGUGUUAAAUUUGACGACCCAUACCCAUUUAUUUAUGUCGUGUUCGUGUCGGGUAAUCGGGUCGUGCCAAAUUUUGCCAGCUCUAGCGAUAGGUGUAUGUGAUUUAGAGCAACGGACACUGUCUCCUGGGCGACAGGUGCUUGUCUCCCGGGCGACAGGUGUCUGUCUCCCCAAAUUACAGAAAGCUUGUUUCUGUAAUUUCGAAUGCUUGUCUCCUGGGAGACAGUGGAUGUCUCCCCAAAUUACAUAAAGCUUGUUUAACUAACGCAUGAAAUAAAAAACCACUAAAAACUCAGCAACAGACUAUACUAAUCUCCAAAAUACGUUAAGGGAUUCCAUCACCACCAAACCACCAAUAUUUUACUUAUUUAAAGAAAUAAGUAAAUUCCAAACCAUCAAGUUGCAUGUCACCAAAUCAGCAACACAAAUAACAAAUAACAAACAUUUAAAUUUGUAUCGAGAGGAAAAAAAAUAUUAGUAUGAGUUAAUUGAAUUGGAAAAUAACACUAAGUAGAAUGUUACCAUAAUUUAAAUUACAGUCACAUGUGCAUUUUCGUAGCUUACAGUUGGUGACAAUCACAAAUUGACUGAAUUUCAUCAGCCUAUACAUCCAACAGUCGCCCAUAUACACAAAAAUAACAAAAAUAACAACUACACUAACAAUGUGCAAUGAUAGUUGAGGUAUACUUUAUACAUGACAUUGCCACUAUAAUGUGAGUUUGUUAGAAUCACAUUUAUACAAAAUAUACAAAAACUCAAUCUUGUGCCUAUGACUGAGUACAAAAAGAUGAUACGACAUCUUAAUUUGCUGGGAUCCUCUCAAGAGAUUCUUUUAUUGCCGUCACCUGCUCAAUGUGAACCUUAUCAUUCAAAUCAGGGAGAGCAAACUCAUUCUCGUCUGCUAAGUCAAACCAGUCCUUUUCUACUGCAAGUUCCAGUGGAACAGAAGACGAUUCAACUGGCCUUUUGCCCCCUAUCAUAUGAGAAUAUGCAUACAUUAAUAAGUGAAAAUAAAGUAAUAAUUAAGAAUAAUAAUAAUAAUAAUGACAUUACUAAACAACAACAAUAAUUGCAAUAAUAAAAAAAAAUAAUGAUAAUAGUAAUAUAUUUUAAUAAAGAUAUUAAUAAUAAUUGUAAUAAUAAUAAUGUAUAUAUAUGUUUUAAUUACAUAUAUAAGUGAAUGUGUGUGUGUGUUUAAUAUUUUUUAUUUUGAAUUAAUAUUAAGCACAAACUGUGUUUUUCGUGUGACAUGCCUAUUGCACGGGCGACAAAAUACUGUAGCACGGGAGACAGAACCUAUCGCCCAAACACACAAAAUGUGUGUGCAUGUAACAAGAGUAUGUUGCAGCCCAAAACACAAAAAUAGUGUUUUUGGGCGAUAGGGGUUGUCGUCUGCGUGACAAGAUUCUGUCGCUAAAAAACACAGAAACUGAAUUUGGGCGACAUAAACCCGUCGUACAGGCGACAACCCCAAAAACACAAAAAUUGUGUUCGUAUGACGUGAGUCUGUAGCACGGGGGACAUGCCUUGUCGCUCAAAAAUGCAGGAAUUGUGUUUGUGCGAGAGGUGUACAAAAACACUGCAAAUUCAUUAACAAAUCAACUUUAGCAAACUUUGGCCAGAAAAAUAAAAAUUACAACUAAGAUCUACUUCUAUUUUACAUACCCAUUUGCAUAAUAAUAAUAAAUUAUUGGCUUUAUAUGCCUUAUUACACUAUGUAUGGUGUAAAUCACAAACAUAAAAUAAUCAAUAACAAUUGUUUUCAACUCAUGACCACAUAUGACUGAAUCCAUUUUUCUUUUAAUUAAUUUUUUCACCACCAACCUAUGAACAAGACAAAUCAAACAUAACCAGCAACUACUUAUAAAAUCUCCAAAAAAAAGAAAAUCAAAGAUAUUUAAAAAUUUUAGACUUUAAUAAAAUAACUAACCUCUUACAAACUCCAAUACCAGUGGCAUAUCUCGGCCGCCGUCGAUCGUCAUCGGUCGGUGACUUUGUCCGACCACCUAUAUUUGUCUUCUUUAUGGGUUAUAUAUGCUCUUUAUGUUUAUUUCCUUUUGUUCCAGCAACUGAGAAUAUGUGAGUGGAGUGAAAAAUGCUUUGAUUGUUAAUGUGAGAGAAAAAAAAUCUCAUUUGCUUUUUUGUACUUAAGAAAGGAAAAUUCACUCUUUUACACAAUGGAUAUUGUGUAUAAUCGGAUAAUACAAUUAUCCAAUAGAUUUCAAAAUAUUUUUUUUUUAUUGUUACUUGAUUUUUUUAGAUUUUCAGCGUGUCUUUUAUAUUUUUGCUAUCAAAUACUAACGUUAUACGUGUAUGUAUACUAACGAUAGAGAAGGUAAAUGAGAAUACAAUUAAUAUCGCCGUCUAAUUGAAAUUAUAUCAAAUCUCAGAGGAGGUUUCUAAAAAUAGCCCUUUUAUUUUACUGCCCGUGCCACAUCAUGCUUAGUACCCACGGCCGUUGCAGCCGGAGGUGCCCGGCAGCCACAUGACUGGUGGCAUUAUCUACUCGCCGUUGAAGUCAACAUCAGAUUCUUUUUUUGUCUUUUAAUUAAAAAUCACAGCCGACACAUACUGUUGGAUGAGGCGGAGCAUAAUAUCAUCGCCUCUCUUGUUGGAUGAGGCGGGAAAAAAAUGGCGCGGCUCUAUGCCACCAACUCUUUCCUCAUUGGAGCUAAUAACAUCCAACUCAUUCAGUUUUUAAAUAUUUACGAAUAAAGGAAGAGAGUUUGUUCACUUAUAUCAUAUAGGUCCAGAACCGUACUCUCUCCUUCAUGAGAAUUGCAUAACCAACAAUUAGCAUGUGGUUGGAAUUGAAUCCUAUAUUCAUUACAUCAUCAUCUCAAAUAAUUUGAUCAACUAAAUUAGUGGAUACCUAUAUACAUAUUAAAACACAUCUCGUAAUAAAACGAUCAAAUAACUUCACUAUAGUAAUUUUUUUACUAAUAUAAUGUAACGCUAAAAAUUAAGAGUAUGUAACUUAAAAUUUUAUUUGGUAGUUUCUAAAUUAGAGCUUCUAUAAGUAACGUUUUAGUAAUAACAAUUUACGUUAAUUUUUAACUUAAAAAAAAAGUUUAUAAAUACCUUAAUAGAAAAGUAAAGUAAAAUGUUAAACUAAGGAAAAUAUAGUUUUAGAGAAAUCAUAUUAAACGAGCACCUAAAUACCAAAGGGUACUCCGUUGUGGAUCGAAAUUGGGGUUUUAUUUUAUACAAAUAGAAUAACAAUGUAAUUAUGUGAGAAACCAUAAAAGAUACGGACCUAAGUGCUAUUACCCCUUUCCUAGCCGUCACACUCCAAUUCAGAUGCAGAGUUAUGCUAAUCAAGGCUUCAACGUAGUACACACAUUCUACAGACUCAACCAAAACUAAAAUUGAUUUAUUAUAAGAAAAAAAUUAAUGGCUUCAUCAAAAACAGUGAGAAAAUUACAGGUGGUAUCACCAGUACCAGCAGAUAUAGACAUUGCAAACUCAGUGGAGCCACUUCAUAUUUCUGAGAUUGCCCAAGAACUCAACCUCAAGCCAAACCAUUAUGAUCUUUAUGGCAAGUACAAAGCCAAGGUGAUUGCUUUUUAGCUUUUUAUUCAUAAAUUUAUUAUUAUUUUUCCUUAUUUGAGUAACUUAUAUCAGUUGGUCGAUUCAGCUUAAUGGUUAAAGACAUGAUUUUUGUGUUUUGAUUGGUUUGUUGUGAUGAGGGUAUGAUUCAAAAACUGCCAUGUUCAUUUUUAUUUUUAUUUUUUAUUUCAAACUUAAGGUGCUUAGUUUUGUUAACAUAACAAAUAUGGGUGCGUAAAGUUGAAUGCAUGUUGUGGAUUUUUGUAGGUGUUGCUAUCUGUUCUUGAUGAGCUUGAAGGAUCUGCAGAUGGGUAUUAUGUGGUGGUUGGAGAGAUUACUCGAACUCCUCUUGGAGAGGGAGAGAUUACUCAAUAUCCUCUUGGAGAGGGAAAGUCUACUACAACUGUUGGGCUGUGUCAAGCAUUCGGUGCUUUUCUUGAUAAAAAGGUAGAGCUUUCAAUAGUUACAAUUUUAAGGCAUUGAGGUUGUUUCUCUAUUUGCCAAUCCAUUUAGUCUAGUGUAAUAUUGAAGUUCCAGUUCUCACACUUAGUUGUACUUCUAUAUCUGUUCCAAACAAUGUACUUUGCAGUUGGAAAGGUUUUGUUAUAUAACUGUUAUUCUGUGUUAAAUAAAAACUAAAUCUGUAUGCUCAUGGAGCAUCUACUUAUUCAUUCCAUAAGAAACUGUUUUCUCUAAUGAUGUUUGAAGAUUCCUAAUCUCUUCCAUUGUAUUCUAAUCACAGCAUCCCUCUACUAGAUGUCUUGCAUUUCUUUUUUAACAUGUAUUUGGUAAUGCCGUAAGACCGUAAAGUUCUUCUGCAGAAAGGUGAAAAAUUGGGUAAAUUGUGAUUUCAAUUGGUCUGGAAGUUCUGUGUGUUAUGUCUGAUGACGACCAAUAUCAGAGGAGUUAAGAAAGUUGUGUUGAGAAAAACAAGUUUUUUGAUUUGGAAAACUCAAAAGUAAAAGAUUAUUCAAGUUGAAUGGGUCAGGGGAGGCAGUUGUAACUCUUUCUGAAGCUAGCUCUCUUUAUCUCUCUCUUGCCCAAAGCACCUUGCAAUCCUGAUGUUCUGCUAGCAACUUUUUUUAUUGAACAAAUUUUUGUGGGUUGUUCACUAUUUUGCCAAAAUGGUGAGAUCACUUCGUAUGUAUGUGUUCUGCCAAUUCAAUCUGUGUUAUCAGCUGUCCCUUUUAUGAGGGGAAUUGAACAGACAAAUUCAUGUGCUUCAAUGAGUAUGUUCAUGGGUCCUUUUAUUGUUGUAACAGCACAUGACUGUCGGUGUUCAUUAUGCCCUGCUGUUGAUAGUAGAGUAAACUAACUGAACAAAUUUUGUUCUUCUUCCCUAAGUACAAAUCUGAAUAACCAUUUUGUAAAUUUCAGACAUUAACAUACUUGAUCAUCUAACUGGGUUUCAUGAAAAUAGAUCAGAUUUGGUGGAAGAAACUGUUCACUUUUAUUACUAUAAGGCCUUCCAUAAAAAGACACAAGACCCUAAUUUUUAGACUAGAUAGUGCUCAACAAGUUUAGCACACGAUUCAGCUUUAAAGGAGUUACAUGAAUGAGCUGCUUGUCAAGUUCCUUAAAAUAGGGUAUUAAUGAUUAUUAAUCUUCAACAGUUAAGAUAGAGACUGCCUGUUAGAAAUGGCCGUAGCUUUUUUGUCCAUCUAAAUCUUAUAAAUCCAAACAAGUAUAUUUACUUUGAACUUUUUUUUUCUAUCUCAAAAUUUAUCUUUGUUUGUUUUGUCUGAAAACUAGCUUUUCAGCUCAAAAAUAAAAGGAAAAAAGGGAAUAAGUGACUAUCAUGGUUCUGGGUAAUUUUAAUAGCGGAUGAAGCUGUUUUUGUGGUCGUUUCCUCCUUCAACAUAGAAGAUUGGAAUAUUUAGAGUGAUUAUCACAGUGCAGAAAUUGGAAUGUGACUAGUUGCUUUGAAUUACUUUGACUGAGUAUUUGUUUAGGCGUUAUCCUUACCAACUUUAUUUGUUAGGUUGUUACAUGUCUUCGUCAACCCUCACAAGGACCAACCUUUGGAAUCAGAGGAGGUGCAGCUGGUGGCGGUUACAGUCAAGUGAUCCCAAUGGAUGAGUUCAAUCUUCAUUUAACAGGAGAUAUUCAUGCAAUUACAGCUGCAAACAAUCUUCUUGCUGCUGCCAUUGACGCCAGGAUAUUCCAUGAGGCGAGCCAAUCCGAUAAGGCUUUAUUUAACAGGUUAUGCCCACCAAACAAAGAAGGAGAACGGAGCUUUAGUAACAUCAUGUUUAGGCGUCUGAAGAAACUUGGUAUCUCCAAAACCAAGCCCGAGGAUCUUACGCCAGAAGAAAUUAACAGAUUUGCUAGGCUUGAUAUCGACCCAGCUUCUAUUACAUGGAGGAGAGUUAUGGAUGUGAAUGACCGAUUCUUGAGGAAAAUUACUAUUGGUCAAGGCCCCGAAGAAAAGGGAAUGGUGAGAGAAACAGGCUUUGACAUUUCAGUUGCUAGUGAGAUAAUGGCAGUUUUGGCCCUGACAACUUCUCUAGCUGAUAUGAGAGAGAGGCUUGGGAAAAUGGUGAUUGGAAAUAGCAAGGCAGGUGAUCCUAACUGCCGAUGAUCUUGGUGUUGGAGGUGCUUUGACUGUGCUAAUGAAGGAUGCAAUCAACCCCACUUUGAUGCAGACACUGGAAGGAACCCCUGUUCUUGUUCAUGCUGGUCCUUUUGCAAAUAUUGCUCACGGUAAUUCUUCUAUUGUGGCUGAUAAGAUUGCACUGAAAUUGGUUGGACCAGGUGGAUUUGUGGUCACUGAAGCAGGUUUUGGUGCUGAUAUUGGAGCUGAGAAGUUCAUGAAUAUUAAAUGCCGAUAUAGUGGUUUAACUCCUCAGUGUGCUGUUAUUGUGGCAACAGUAAGGGCCUUGAAAAUGCAUGGUGGUGGGCCACAAGUUGUUGCUGGGAAGCCUCUCGACCAUGCCUACUUGAAUGAGAACGUGGCUCUGGUUGAAGCUGGCUGUGUGAAUCUGGCCAGGCAUAUUGCAAACACAAAGGCAUAUGGUGUGAAUGUUGUAGUUGCUGUGAACAUGUUCGCAACUGAUAGCGAAGCAGAACUGAAUGCAGUUAGAAUUGCAGCAAUGGCUGCUGGGGCCUUUGAUGCAGUUGUUUGUUCUCACCAUGCCCAUGGUGGAAAAGGAGCGGUAAGUGACUUAUCACCAUUAGACCUAACAAACAAAAAGGAAAUAUUUCUCAAUUUUCACCUCUGCAAACUACAUAACUGUAAAUAAAUUAUCAUUAAUCUGCAUUGCCCAUAUUUGGUCUCUACACAGAAUUUCUCGAAGGCAAUUUGAGCAGGAUGAAUUGUUUAACAACUUUUACACACCGCCUUUCUGAUUCUGGAAAUUAUUGACACAUCCCGCCUAUAUCUGAGAAUUUCUCAUGUUCUGCAGUCUACCUUUGCUUCGACCACUAAGGACUUGUAUUAUGAGUUUCUCAGCAAACUAGGAAUAGAUAUUUUCAAUCCAAGUGUAAUCACAUAUUUUGAACCUGAAAGACUUGUGCCUUUUCUGUCUAUAGUAUGACUCCGAGAUAGGCUCCUUUCAGGGUGUACAUAUUAUAUGAUAAGACUAAACUGGGAGAAUUGGUUAUUGAUAUCUUUUGAUUAAAAGCUCUAUUGUUAUCAUGGUUUUCAGGUUGACCUUGGAAUUGCAGUUCAAAGAGCCUGUGAGAAUGUCACACAGCCACUGAAGUUCUUGUAUCCUUUAGAUGUCAGUAUUAAAGAGAAAAUAGAUGCAAUAGCAAGGUCAUAUGGUGCUAGCGGCGUUGAGUACUCAGACGAGGUAAAUGCUUCAAACAUUUUUCCAUUGAUUCUCCAUGGAUUGUCAAGUGCAUCAGUCUGACUAAUUCAAUCCUUUCAAAAUCUGACAAAAAGCACAAAGUUAAACCAAAUGUUAAAUGUUCCUUUGGGUUGGUGAAAGCAAAAUCUAGUUGUAAAAUGCGUGUUUUGUCUUUAUCUGUGGCGUUUCAAAUCUAUUUUCUUGCUGACGCCUAAAAAUAAUAGAGGUAGCACUUACCAUCUUGUUGCAGAAGCAACUCUUACAGAAAAAAGCGCAUAUAUAUAUGUGUGUGUGUAUUUUGAUGAGACCAUUAUGAUAACUUUUGGUCUCCUGCAGAAUUUUUGGGUUUUACUUUGUCUUGUUGAUUUUUGGAACUUGCUUAACUAUUCUAGGGCUUAGUUUACUAAUUUAAAUUAUUUCAAUCUGUGCAACUAGGCUGAGAAACAGAUCAAAAUGUACACCAGGCAAGGGUUUUCUGCCUUACCAAUUUGCAUGGCAAAAACCCAGUAUUCAUUUUCACACAAUGCCGCUGAAAAGGGAGCCCCAACUGGGUUUAUCUUACCGAUAAGGGAUGUAAGAGCUAGCAUUGGGGCUGGAUUCAUUUAUCCUUUGGUUGGAACAAUAAGUACAAUGCCAGGUCUCCCAACAAGGCCAUGCUUUUAUGCGAUUGAUGUCGACACUGCAACUGGAAGGGUUCUUGGGCUGUCUUAAGAUCCCACAAAGCACUCCCGUGACCGUGUGGUUCUGAAAGAUGCUCUCAUUAGUAGUUCUCGAAUGCUCUUGAAGCAACAACUGAGCUGAGGGCUGUUGGGAAAAUAUGCUCUUUAAAAGUAUAUGUGUUUAUUUAAUUAUAAUAAAUAAUUUUUUUGAUUAAUAAAAUAAAUAAUAUAUUUUAUUCAAAUAUCUUAAUUGUAUUAAUAUUUUGAGUAAAAUCCAUUUAAUCAUAUUAUAUGUAUUUAUAUGAUCACUAUGUGGAUUCACAAAAAAAUAUAAAUACAAGUUAUCUUAUAAUUAAAUAAAUUAAUUUCACAGUUGAUAAAUAAAGCUGGAUACUUUAUUUAUGUAUAGAUUGUAAUAAAUUCAUUAAACGAUUUGUCUUGAUUAUGUGUGAAUUUAUUGAUGUAGUACGAUUACAUUGAACAAAAUCACAUAUGAGAUUUAAUUAACUUUGUAAUAACUGUCAGACUUAUUAAAUCUCAUAGGCAUUGUUGUAAUCUUAAUAUUGAGUUAGUUAUGAUUUUAUGAUAGUAAUUGUUAUUCCAUUUGAGUUACCAAUGGGCACGACACACACUUGUAGUCAAUAUUACCCGGUAUUUUGGUGGGAGCAAUUAUGAGUAUUAGAGUUAUAGAUUAACAAUAUAGAAUUUGUACAACACAUCUCUUGAUGGGUUUUCGGCACUUGAUCAUAGAAUUCUCUGGCUAGAGUGUGUCAACAUAUUUAGUAUGUUGAAAAUGAUCAUUAGAGAAAACCAAUAAGUAUUAAGGAACAAUAUGUAAUUAAAUUGAUUGGACAGUUGAGAUAUCGAUUUAAUUAACGAUGUGGUACAGAAGAUUAUGCAGUAAAUAAAUCAAUGUGGCAUGGAUCAAAUUAUUAUUCGAAAACACUAUCCUAUAUAACAUACAAUUAGGGAGGUCAAUUCUAAUUUUUUAGUGGAAUAGAUUUGGAAUUAAAUAAUUGGACUAAUUUAAUUACAAGCCUAAUUAUUGUAGCCACUAUUGUAUUUACCUAAAUAAUCCCUGGGUUAGCUCAUUUAAUUGACUGUGCCGCUACUGGAUUAAUAAGCAAGAUAAUUAGUUAUUUGAGUUAAAAGUCUAAAUAUAUUAUUUAGUGGGAGACUCCAUUUAAUUUGUUUGUAUGUAAGAAGUCUUGUGUUAUUUUAUAAGCUGGCCCCUUAUAACUCAAGAACAAGUAACGCCACUUUUGGUUUUAUUGUUUUUUAAUUUAAAUCAAAUGUUAUUUAAUAGAAUUAAAAAAUAUAUAAAUAUGGAGUCUAAGUUUCCACCAAAUAGAGAUAUAAAAGGGCUUGUUUUUUAAAAAAGAAAAGAGACAGCCACAUUAUACAGAUUAGAGAAAAAAAAUUCCUCUAUAAUUUUGAGAGGAAUAUUCUCUUGCUAGUUGUUUUUAGUGGUGAUAAAGGCACCCACACGUCAAGUGCAGAUCAAACUUGAAUCAUAACCUGAAAGAUCAUUGGUGACAUAUCGUGAUUUAACAAAAGUGGUGGUGACGGAUCGUGAUCUAACAGGAGUGGUGGUGACGGAUCGUGAUCUAACAGGAGUGGUGGUGACGGAUCGUGAUCUGGGAGUCUAAAUUAAUUCAACGAAAAAGUCAAAUCGAAUUAUCAAGACAUGAUUUUUUAAAUUACGAAUUCUUAUGUAUUGUAUGAAUUAGUCCUAAAAAAUUUUAUAAAAAUUUAAAAAAAAUUGAUUUUUUUCCAAUAAGGGCUUCCUCCCACCCCAUUGCUGUUAUUUUUACCUCGAUUUGUACACUUCGUGCACCUGUGCUAUAUGCUGUGUCAAUAAGAAUCGAACACAAAAGAACCGAGAGAAUAAAUCUGGUUUCAUCUUGCUGCUCUGAUUUACCAA
rnacentral:lncRNA from 1 species